CUGUGGGUUAUCCUUAGGGGUUACACUCUUGUUAUGUUUGUUGUGUAAUAUUUCACCUCUGCUUUCCCGCAGAGCAGUCAAAAAAGUCUUGUGGACCCUUGGGUGGUCCAAGUAACUGGUCAGUUUGUUCCAAUAGUUGAUAUGACAAUUAAGAAUUAUGAUUAUCCUGUGCUAUUGUUGAAUGCAUCGAUUGAAUUUUGAGCUACCUUUUGUCGAAGUGUUGCAGGUUUGUAAUAAUUCAAUUAUUGUGCCAAGUACAUGUUUUAAUGCUGUUUUUUGUUCGAACUGGGCCAGCCAGGAAAUUAAUUGCCUCAGAAUGAGAUUAUUCUUUUUUAAAAUGGACGAAUAUUCUUUUUUAUUAAUGCAAGAAACGAACAGAAUCAUUUGUUCAUUGUAGAAUGUAAGUAACACGAUGAAUCCAGCUGGGGAGUUCUUUUUCUGUUGAUUUAAGUAUGUUUUUUUACGCCUGCACCUGGGGGGCUGUGGCACGCUCGGGUAUUGUAUAACUCCUGCAGUCCUGCUAUGUACUCCUAGGUGACAACAUUGUACUAUGAAUAGUUAAUGGAGAAGUUACAAUAAUGUAGUAGUAACGUCAAAACCGUGGGCAGGGAAAAACUCGAACAAAACUGGUACGUCUGCGUCGCAGGCUCGCAGCAUCAGCGCAGCGCAGCUCCUGUGUGGCUGCGUGCACCUGCCAUUCUGCCUUCCCCUCAGACGGACCCCAUGGCACACUGCUCCAGCACACGCAUGCAUUGAAUGGGGCGCAUGCGCCGUGACGCGCAUACCACCAGCCCCUGAGGUCAUCGGCAACUGUACAAACGUGCAUGCCUGAGGUCACCGGCGGGCGGGUACUGUGCGAGAUACAGUAUAUUGCAGCGCUGACAGGAUCGCGUACGCAGUGGCGGUACCACUGGAUCGUGCUCGUACGCAUAUAAAAACGAUCGGCCAUCCAUCGGCGUCAAUCACCUCGAUCGCAGGAUGCGCAGGUGUGCAUCAGGGUGGGGGAGGGGAAUGACCAUCGGUAGUAUAGCAGCUCGAGAUGCACACGCGACAUUAUGGCGCUCGAUGGAUCGAUCGAUCGCGUGCCGUGCAUCCAGCCUCCAGGCAUGGCGACGGCAUCUUGCCGUCACUCCGGUGAUCCUGAUGGGAGAGGAGAGGAUCCAUCGGCGGAUCGAGCUUAUCAUGGUGCCAUCAUAAGCUCGGACGCAGUCGCCAUGCCCUCGGCCCUCGCUCGCUCAGUCGCUCUCGCCGUACCGGUAGCUGCACGCCAACUGCGGCCUGGAUUCUUGUAAUGAGACGUCAAAUCGACACGUACUGUGAAGCCUACCGAGGACCAGCUGGCCUUGUGGCAGAAACGGCGAGAAGGUCGCCGUACGCCCGUUUGGAAGAAAUUCUUCUUAUUUCGAAAUUUGGUCCACUCAGUUUUUUUUUUGCAAAAGAAUAAAAUCUGGUCCAGUCGGCGAAGCUGAUCCUUUGCGGUUUCUCUCUGAAAGCAUGUCACUAUCAGCAUCCCUCGAUUGUUGUUGCACGCCUGAAUCCUGCUGACCCCGUGGGCUCCAAACACAAAAGCUCGGUUUUACCAAUGGCUAGCAGCGAGUAGUAGUACUCCGUAGGUUGGAAUCCCGUCAUGGAGCGGUCCCCGAGAACGAGAUUUGGGGCCAGCGGUGCGCUGCACGCGCCGUGUUGCUCCUCCCGUUUUGCCCGUAUGCGCGCGCGCCGCGCGGAGCGCGAGGCAGGAGCCAUCAGCUAUCGUCUCGUCGUCUGGUCUCGUCGCGUGCACUUGAAUGGCGGAGUGGUCGCCGGACGCCGGGUGGGGCGAACGUCUGCGGCUGCCUGGCCUGGCCUGGGCGGCUGGGCGCCCGAUCCCAUCAAAGCCUUCCCGUCACGCGUUCCUCGGCGGGAAAAGCUCGUGGGCGUGGCGUGGGGGCGGUGCGCUGCGGUCCGGCCGGUCCGCGGAGGAGACCCGGGCCGGGAGGGAAUGGAAUAUCCCGCGGCGUGGAUCCUGCUCUGCAUCCGCGCGCGCACGUCGUCACGUCCGCUGGAUCGCGCCGGAUGCCCCGCCCCCGGCCUCUGCCGCGCGCAUGACCUCACCCACCACCCACGCCGCUAUACGAGGGCCAGCCGGGCAGAGGAGAGGCCCCCGCCGCCUGCAGCUUGCUGGCCGGCGGAGCUGACCUGAGGCUGACGCCACUGGCCUUUUCGAUCCGGCCAUCGCGCUGGCGAGCUCGCGUGCGGCCCGUACGCCUGGCUGCCUGGCUCUGGCUCCGCUCCCCACUGGGCAGUGGGCACUGGCCGACUGGCCGUCCGUCCCGUCCCGGCGGGGCGGUGUGAAUGAUUGAGAUGAUGAUGACGAGGUAUUUUAUCUUUUCGUCUUGUUUAUUAAUCGUCCUCUCCUUGUCAGGGGGGAGACGCAGAAAAGCAGAAUGAAUGCCCCGGAGUACUUACUUGGCAAGUCCUGCGUGCACACUUUCUUGAGUCAUCAAAUCAACCCGACUGUUCUCCUCUUCAUUUUCUUUCUGGGCAAGCAAUGACCGGAAGGUUUUCGAGAGCACGGUACCUUCUACACGUUGUAUAUACAGCCAAUACUUGCAAUACGUACAGGUAAUCGCUUCCGUUCCACAUGUGCUCGGAACACAUUCAAGGUCAAAGAUUUCACAAAGUAACCACCUUCAAACAAGUAGAGGGUUUAAAGUUUAUAAGAUGCUUAUUAUGUCACUACCGUUCCAAAUAGUAACGGGUAAGUCUUGUGUGUAUGUAUCUAUGUACGUAAGGUGACCAAAUUGAAGUUACAAAACCGAUGACCAAUACAUAGGAUCCACAGCCUGCCGGUCGCAUGAGAGUUCAACUCCAUCAGUCAAGCAUAGCUAGAAUUUUAGUGCGAUGCAAAAAAAAAGGCAUCCUCAAAGCCCCCGUUAAAAAGAACCGUAGGGGACGGAGGUUCUCACCGGACCACCGCCCCAUGUCUCUUCUUGUUGUCACGGAUCCUUUUGCCGCUCGAUCGCCAAGGCGAAGCAAGAAGCAACCACCUACACAGGACGGCGCCGGCCGGCGUUACUUUGCUCUGUCCGUGGCCGGCUUUUAUCCCCAUAUUCUGCCGUUACAUAGUUUUAUAGUCCGAUCCUACACAUGACGACGUGAUACAUCGUCGUCCUCGUCCAUCGCUUGCCGACGCCCGAAUUGCAUUUUUGGGAAUUCCCCUGCCACUAACCGCCUGGACCACCGGAGGACGGCAUGCCUAAGUGCAUGCAUGCCGGCCGGGCUAGUGUAGUGAGCACAAAAGCGAUUCCACAUCGCGAGUUUGCCGAGGUCAAGGCACCAGUUUAAUUCAGGUGCCGUUCGCGAAAAGAAGGCCAAGACUCGUCGAAUGUUUGCACUAUUGUGUGUACAUCGAUCACAACUGUGCAUGCCACAGCCUGGUUUGAUUGCCGGACGACGGUUGCAUGGCUUGCUCGCUACCACACCAGCACCAGUCGAACGCCAGAAAGAAUCGAAUCUUUGUGUGCAGUGGCUUGAGCCCUCUAACCACAGCCACCACACCACAUGAUCUAUCCCAGAUUCUAGCUAGCUUCACUGAUGGUUCUUCGACUUGUUCACCUCGAUCUCAUGUACUACUAGCACGUACGUAGUUUCUAGUUUGGCAUUGCUGAUGCUUCAGCGUGACGAACAGUACGCUACGGCCCAAGUGAUUCAUAUUUAGGGUGAUCCACGCAUACGCACGCACCUUUCGAUCCCAACUACUGCAUGCAUGGUCCAGACUAGUAACGUCUAGGCGAGCCUCAAAAGUUGUGUGUGUGGAUAUAUAUGCAUGCUUCCUUCGUCCCCGUCUUCCUUCGCUUUAUAUGCAUGGUGAUGAGAGGCCAUUGGAUUGGAUAACGCUGAGGUGGUGCCGUUGGCUGGGUCUUUCUUCCAUUUGCGGCAAUUGGCGCCAUUCGAGGAUCGAUCGGGCUACCAGCCUAGCUACCACCUCGAGAACCUGGACCGGCGUUACUGCUGCUGCUCUGCUAGCUACGUGUCAGCCUAUGAAUUCAAGAGCCUUCACCUACGGACCUACUCUACGGUCCUUUUAACUCAUCGGGCACUGCGUCGCUCAAACAGUCAAACUUGAGCACUUAACCGCAACUGGAGUACCUCAAAGGAGAAAGUUUAGGUUCAGAAAAAUGCAUGCAGGCCAUCUCGAUUUUAAUGUUCGCCCACUGCCUCAAGACGUUGACUCCUCUUUUUGGGAUAAAAUCUGUCCUUUGCCUUCUGAUAACCUUCAUGUGGGAGUACAGUAUGUGUGCUAAAUUUUCACUACAACAACAAAAAAAAAGGUGAUAGGCACUUUGCUUUAGGCAUUUUCUAAUUUGCCGCAAUAAAACUUUCUGAAAAAAUGUGUUUAAAUAAAUAGAUAUUAUGUGGAGUAUCAUAGAUAUUAUUUGUGGCACUUCAGAAGGUGGUCUCGAGUGUAGAGACACUACUUGAGAUAACCUGAAACAAAAUUGCUUGUGGAUGGCUGGAAGCACAUCUUUUACACACUUUACUUAAUUAUAAAUUUCAAAUACAAAAUAAUAUAGAGAAUUAGAGAUAUUAUUUUGGCAUUCCCAAAUUGACUCUAUCUGGUAUAUAUUGUUUGAGGCAUGUUUUAGAGUAUUUCCGCCCAUAUAGAAAUGCCACUGAUUCAGUAAUCCAAUAUAGAUGAUUCACAAAGUGUUUCUACUCUCGGAGAGUCUAAGACAAUGCAUCGGAAGGCGUUUUAUGGCAUUUUAGAAAAAAAUGACUAUGAUUACGUAGAAAUAUGGAGAGAAAAAAUAAAGUGCCUCUACAAGCCGGUUCUCUUGCAUGGAAACAUGGGGAAGAAAUCAUGCCAUACGCCCAUAUUGGUGGACGUUGGAGCGAACAAGGGAAUAGUAGUGACAGGUGGUGAGGUUGGACUUGAAAGAAGAUUGGGAGGUGUGAUUCUUCUACAGGAAUGGGAAUGAGAUAUUGCUUGACGAUUACUAGAUACUAAAUGGAGUUGAAAUUGGGGAGUACGUUAAAAAAGCCGCUGGUAGAUAAAAUCUCUACUUGUCAACUGUAGGCUCACUGGAGCUUCAAAUUUGUCUCAAAUUCGUACUGCUCUAGUACUUUACGACACCUCAAGACAAACCUAAUACGAACGAGCAAUCAUGAGCGCAUUAAGACCGGUUGCAAGAUGGCGGGCCCGGUGUUAUGGUCUUACACGAGGUGGACCAGCAGUCUAUCUAUACGUACACGUACUAAUGUACCCGUAGGCAUGCUCGUACACGUACGUACUCCUAUGGCGAGGGCCAAAGCGAGAAAGAGAGCGGUGUAUGGAGCAAAAUAGCCGAUGGAGCCGAGGGCGAGCGUGACCGAUCCCGGAGGCGAGGACCACGACCAGUAGUCCACUUGCUGGCGUGAUUAGGACGAGGGCCGGGGUCCACGGUGCAGCGGGCCGGGCAGCAGAGAAUCAUCAUCAUCAAUGAUUGAGCGAACGAACGGCGCGGGGCCACCGCCCACGAACGCACUGGCACCACCACUGCCAUAACGCGCCGGCCGCAUGCGGCAUGCCCGAGUCCCGGGGAACUUGUUGCCAAGGCGUGGCGCACGGCGGAGCUAGGGGAGCCACCCCCCUAGCUACCUUCCAGCGUGCGUGCUAGCCGUAGCCCUAGCCCUAGCCGUGGGGGCCAACCAGCCAAGGGCCAUGGCCGAUCGAUCGCGCGCUAGCUUCGGCGGUGCAUGCUCUUCUCUGAUCCUACUGCCCAUGCAUGCGCAUUUUCCUGCAUGCUCGCGGCCGCUCUAGCUAGGCCGGCCGGAGAACGGGAGAAGCUCAGAAGUCUUGCUUUCGGCCAUGUUCCACUUUUUUUUUCUAUCUCAGUGAAAAUUUACUGCUGAUCACUGAUGUUGGCACGCGCAGUGCGUGCCUGACCCCUGAUCAGAUUUUUCAGACCUUGAUCGGAUGGCCUGUGCGCCUGCGACGAGCUGGAAGGCAUGGCGCAUGCGGUACUACUCCACUGUGCAAGCCAUGCAUGCAGCGAAUCCUCGUCCGGAUCAGGGUGGCAACAUUGUCACCAGGCUUGGCAAUAAAUGUUCCCAUCAAAGCCCUGACUGUAGCUUGUAGAUGGUCGGCCGGCCGGCCACCCGGACGCAUGCAAAUUGAUGCCUGGCUCGACGUCCUCAAGCUCAGCACAUCAUUUUGAACUCAAUCAGACUCCGAGUUGACUUGUACCCGUCAAUCAACGUAUUCGCAGAUUGCGCUCACUGCUCGACCAACCGAGCUAGGGUCGGCAUUGAUGCCUGGCUCAGUGCUGCUAGCUGCGUGCUGUACGCCUAGAACCUCGCAACCGGUACAUAGGAGUAAGGUGCUCCUUUAGUCCAUGGACUAAAGUUUUAGUCCAUGGACUAAAGUUUUAGUCCACUUUAGUUCAUGAAUUAAAAAUGGAUUAAAAUGGUGUUUGGUUCAAGUGACUAAAAGUGACUAAAACCAUUAAAUGCUGUGACAAGAUUACCAUUUAGCCUUUGGAAGCUCUCCCCACCAGUUGCCCCUGGCGCAACAGCCUGGCGCCAAAUUCUGGUGGCGCCAACACCCUGCAGGCGCGCGCCAAAGCUCCAGGCGCCAUAUCACCUUCUAUUUCAUGCUGAGUAGGAACGCCAAAAUCUUUCUUGUGCCACAUGUUCAUUCCAUUUGGUAAAAAAAAGUCCAUACAAAUGUUCAUACACAUUCAUACACUCAUACAACCUGGGAGGGUGUUUUAGAGGCCUUGUCAUCUUCUUCGUCACCGGCAUCAACAUCCAGUGGAUUGUCAUAGCCGUGGCCUCCAGAGGAAGAUGCACCGCGUCCUCUUCCCAAUCUUCCUCCCCCAUAGCUCCCACCUCUGCCUCCACACCUACCGUUGGCUCCUCCACAUCCUCCACCCACUCUCCCUCCACCGGUUGCGGCGGUCAUGGACCGGCGACCACGCCCUCCGCCACCCUGUGCUCCCACCCUGCCUCCAGGGGCUAAGGAGGGAGUUGAUGCUCCAAACCAGCUGCACCCCCUGUAGGAACUCCUGGUAUGACCUAAUAUUGGGGAACACGUCGGCCUCUGAGUUGAGGUCCAGAUGCUCCAUGUGGCGGUGGGGAGCGGACAGGGAGGAGGCCGACGGCGACACGAACGAGCCGAAAUUGUCUUCGUCCGCAUCUUCCGAGGAAGUGUGGAAGCUACGUGUACUGGAUGAAGAACCCUAAUACAGGAACUCCCGGUAGUUGUAGUUAUCCAUGGGUGGGGUGCGGUGGUUGGGCGCGGUCGUGCUGGCGGCAUGGGAAGGAGAGGGAGGGGGCGGAUCCGGCGGGGGAGCUUCGGGGGUGGUGGAUCCGGUGUGUGGAGCUUCGGGUGCGGUGGAUCUAGUGGGGGAAAUGGUGCGGGCGGCCAGAAUCGAGAGGAAAUUUGGGGCAACUGGCGGGCGGUGUCAAGGAGGGGGGAGCGAGCGGAUGCCGGCGUGGGAGGGCGCGACCGCCGGUGAGAGGGCGCGGCCGCCGACAUGGAGGAGGGAGCGAGCGAUGGCUGGGUUGGGGGAGGGAAGCGAGCGGUGGUUGGGCCUACGGGGUCUGGAGGCGGGGGUGGGAGGACUCGGGGGCGGUGGAUUCGGCGGGGGAGGGCGCGGCCGCCGGCGUGGAGGAGGGAGCGAGCGGCGGCUGGGUUGGGGGAGGGAAGCGAGCGGCAGUUGGGCGUGCGGGGUCUGGUGGCGGGGGUGGGAGGACCCGGGAGGGGGGAGGGUGCGGGGGUAUGGUGUGCAGAGAAGAUUUUAGUCGGUUUUAGGAGGGGUGGGAGGGCUAAAGGAUUUUAGUCUUCUCACCUUUUAAUCUUUUAGCCAGCUUUUAGUCACCUUUUAAUCCAAAAAAUUUUAGGAGGUGGGAAUCAAAUGACCUAAGCUCAAGGAGGCGCGCACCGUAGUCUACAACCAUUCGCUCGCUCCUCUCUGCAUGCACCGCCGGCCGGCUGCACGCUCCAUUUACUCCCAUCUCAACCACCGAUUUCUCCUCUAGGACGCCGCGCGAUUGACUUGGAUGGAGCCUUUGAGUUUUUGCAGGGUGGUUUUCGCAUAUAAUGCUUCGCCAAUUACAAACGAGUCCUUAGGAAUGUUAUCGUUCAUUUUUUAAAACUUCUAUCAGCCCUCCACUCUGGCAACACCAACAAAUAUUUAGCAGUUCCAUUGUUCAUAAAAAGGGUUUCAAGAAUCUUUUAAAAAAAAGGGUUUCAAGAAAGUGAAACGUUGCAAGGUGAAGUGGAAAGAGCUGCUAGAGACAUACGAGGAGGAUGGUGUGUGGGGAUCGAUGAUAGCAACAGCUGGGGAGGCCGGCGCCAAGCAGUAGGAUGAGACUUGCUGGGGUGGUGGCAGCAGCUUGGUGGGAGUGGGCUAGGAUUAUGCAUUAAUUCGAUAGGGAUGGAGACGAUGGUGCAAAUCUAGAUCGUGUCGAAUUAAACUUUUGAUAGCAAAUAAAGUGACUAGAUUGGUUUAUAUGUAGAAUGUAUGCGAGAAUGGAUACUCUACCUGUAUAUAUACAUUUCUUCAGAACGUGAAAAGGUUGGCACGACUUGGUCUCUUUAGAACACAAUUUGAUCUCUAAUGUUUAACAUAAUACAUUGAGAAACCACAACACAAUUGUAUGAUUGUGCAAAACUAUAUUUGAUAUAAAUCUACACUUACCUUUUGUAAAUAUUCAAUGUCAGUAUAUAUACAAACUAACUGAUGAUUGGAGUUUUGAUACCUUCACAUAUCCCAGUUCCCUAAAGUCACUCUUAGCCCCCAAUAACUCCAUAUUGUUGCUUCCUAUCAUCUACUCCGUUCAUCCAAAAAGAGUAUUGUUCUAGCUUUGCCCUUAGUCAAACUAUCUUUAGUUUGACCAAGUUUAUAGUUAUGAUAUCAAAUAGGUAUACCAUGACAAUAUAUUUCAUGAUGUAUUUAAUGAUACUUUUUUGAUAUCAUAAAUAUUUUCAUUUUUAGUAUAAAGUUGGGUCCAACUUAAGAUGGUUUGACCUGGGACAAAACUAGAGUAACACUUUUUGGAGCGAAGUGAGUAUACUACUCUUAGCUUCAAAUACUUUUUUUCCCCAAUAAUAAUAUUAUUCUGUCUUUGUGUUUAGGGAGUCUCUAAUGGUUAUAUGUAGUUUUAUCUAUAAGAGUGUACAUGUAAUCUAUAUACUACACUGAAGUUAACUUCUCUAAUGGCUUACCUACAAGGUUGUCUCUUAAUUUUAUUAAUGCUUGCAUACGAUUGGUUAAUGUGGUGAUAAUUGCUUUGUUUUUUUUUGAUAAAAAUGCUUUGUUUUCUCCCAAGCAAGAACUAUUUUUGUUCUCUCCAUCCACUAAUUCUCGUCCACUAGGAUAAUUGCUAAGGUGUAGUACCACCUUAAACAACAGGAGCAACACCCAUCUUUGGACCAUUAAUCCACUAACCAACACACUUGAAAUACAGGCGGCUAGAGGGUAUAGGAUGCUCCCACUCUCCCCCCACCGCAACCACUCCUACAUUUGAAUCACGCAAGCCAAAACCGAUUGUGAAAAGUACAAAGAGUGACCUUGACACAUGCGCGCGCGAGAGUGACAAGUGCUAUUCCAAAUUUGCAACCGCAGACGACGGAGGACCUAGCUAGUAACACCCACCCACCUAUACACAAUGACUAGCUAGCGUGGAGGACCAUGCCUCACCACGAGGUGCGAGCAUUGGAGCAUACACUCACAUUUCGUUUUCCAAGCGGAAAAACCCCAUGAACUCGCGUCACACGGCUCCAUUCCACUACGAAAUAGAAGUAUUAAUUGAAAAACAAACUCCUACUCUGCCUACUAGUACCACUACUACGAGACGAGCUCGCCGGCUGCAAGAGCCCUACAAGUCUGCAGCCGAUGAAGAGUAGUACGUGCUCUCUGCCCAGAACCCCUAUAAAACCCCUCCCACAGUAAACUCCACACGGUAAAAAGAAGGACGCAGCCACACACGCACCCAUCCGGUUCCUGGCCAGCAGGCUCGAAGGCGAUGGACGGCGAGGCGCAAGGACGACGCCGCCCGGCGUGGGUCCCCGGCGCCAUCAUCGUCGGCGCGGGCCCGUCGGGGCUGGCCGCGGCCGCGUGCCUCGCGGCGCGCGGCGUCCCAGCCACGGUGCUCGAGAUGUCCGACUCGCUGGCGUCCACGUGGCGCCACCGCACCUACGACCGCCUCACGCUCCACCUCCCCAAGCGCUUCUGCGAGCUGCCCCUGCUCCCGUUCCCGGAGGGCUACCCGGCGUACCCGUCCAAGGACCAGUUCGUGGCCUACAUGGAGAGCUACGCCGCCGCCGCCGGCGUCGCGCCGCGGUUCGGCGCGCGCGUCGAGGAGGCCGCCUUCGACGCGGCCGCCGGCGCGUGGGCGGUGCGCCUGGCCGGCGGGGAGCUGCUCCUGGCGCGGUGGCUCGUGGUGGCUACGGGGGAGAACGCGGUGCCGCGCGAGCCGGAAUUCCCCGGCGCACCGCGGUUCGCCGGGCGCGUCAUGCACACGCGCGACUACAAGUCGGGCGAGGUGUUCUCGGGGAAGAAGGUGCUGGUGGUGGGGUGCGGCAACUCCGGCAUGGAGGUCAGCCUGGAUUUGUGCCGGCACGGCGCCAAGCCCUCCAUGGUGGUGCGCAACACGGUAACUAAUGAUCCCCGUGCUUGCUUACUUACUCCUAGUCCUAGCUAGGACCCGUCGUUUUCUACUCCCGUUGUCUUGCUUUGGACAGCGAAAGUACAAGUGCUGCGAGUUUUGUGCCAUCCUGCUUGAGCACUUUCCCCUUGGAUGAUUGUCUUUGCGCGCGUCGCGCUUUGUUUUUGCUGCGAUCUUUUUUGGGGCAUGCCUUAAUGUGCGUGGUCAUAUUUGGGCACGCUAAGCAUUAUUAGACCUACUAACAUGUGGUACGGUGUUGGGGAUGUCUCUGUCUUGUCCCGUGCCAUGCUCAGCACCCAUAACAUUCUUCUUCGUCUUUGUUCUCUCUUCUUUCGUUCGCAUCAGAAAUUAAAGCUACAAGUAUGUGAUGCGUUUUGCGCAGGUCCAUGUGCUACCCCGGGAGAUGCUUGGCCUCUCCACGUUCGGCAUCGCCAUGGCGCUGCUCAAGCUGUUCUCCGUCCAGGUAGUCGACCGGAUCCUCCUCGCGGCGGCGCGGCUGACGCUGGGCGACACGGGCAAGCUCGGGCUGAGGCGGCCCAAGACGGGGCCCAUGGAGCUGAAGAACCUCACCGGCAGGACCCCGGUGCUGGACGUCGGGACGCUAGGCCACAUCAAAACCGGCAAAAUUAAGGUUAGUGGCAGCCUACUUGCAUUUACACCAUGCUUUCACCAAAGGAGAGCAGCAGCAGUAGAAGAAGAAAAUCACCACACGCACGACCAGUCAAACCAUGGGAAUUUGAACCCCGGGCCGGGCGCGGUCGUGGGCCUGUGCCUCAUCUGGCAUGCCAGCCCGGCUUUAAGGCUCGCCUUGCUCACACACACACACACACACACACACACACACACACACACACACACCAAUUCUGCGAUUGGUUUCCCCCUGAGAAGCGGGCUCUGUUUUUAACCUCUCGUCCUGCAUCAAACCUACCGCUGAAUGAGUUGCUGAUGCGAAACAUGAUCGCCAGGUAGUGGGAGCAGUGAAGGAGGUGACCCGGAGCGGGGUCAGGUUCGCGGACGGCAAGGAGGAGCAGUUCGACGCAAUAAUACUGGCCACAGGGUACAGGAGCAACGUGCCGUCCUGGCUCAAGGUAAAUUCACCUCCCCCAUUCCUCCUUCCUAGUACUGCAACGAGGGGCAAGGCAAAGAUGAAAAGUGACGCCGGCGAAAAGGACUCGCUUGUUUGUUGGUUCGGGGCCCUGCCCUUUGCCGAGCAGAGCAGCAGCUGCUGCAGCGCGCAUCAUGUCGUCACCCCUGUUCGGCCAUCCUGCCCCCGUUGCCCUUCUCGUGUAUGCCGGGCGCGCAGGCGCAGCUCGUGCCCCGCGCUGCGCCGCGCGUUCCUUUCUCCCGAAGUGUUCACCCGCGCCCAAGUGAUCGAGUCAGUGAGUCACCCCGGGGGUAUGGGCGCGGGCACAGGAGCAGGGGCCCCAACGCUGGCUUGGCGCUGAUCCAAGGACUAGGGUGAGGACGACGGGUUCGUAUACGGACUCGGGAGUUUGGAUAUACGCUUUGGGUCCAGUGGAUAGAUACUUGUCGAUACCUCAAGGUGAACGGUCGAUUUGUAUGCAACGUGUGCAACGAGAAUCAGCCAAGUUAAUAACUUGCUGCAUUUACAAUAUUUCUUCUUCAUGUAGGAGUAUACUGUUUGCGACCUUGCUCAUGAACCUCGUUAUCUUCUACUAUGCAGGAUGGAGGUGACGUGUUCACGAGAGAAGGCAUGCCCAAGACCCCCUUCCCCAACGGCUGGAGAGGGAAGAACGGGCUCUACACCGUCGGAUUCUCUCAGCGGGGGCUGCUCGGCGCGUCGUCCGACGCCCUCAACAUCGCCAGAGAUAUACAUUGCCAGUGGAAGGACAUGGGCAGACCCGCUAACAAUAAUGUGCUCCAAAGUGACGAUACUGUUUGACUCUCGUGUAAAUGUACAGUACGCAAGUGGUUAUAUUAAUGUCUUCAAAAGGUACCAUUUUGUGUGCUUACGACAGCAUGAUUUUCGCUUACCGAAUUGGCCAACUUAAAAGCCUUUUAGGGCACGAUUGGUUCACUGCCGAUACUAACCAAACCAAAUUUUUGGCGUGCGCAUAAGUAACUUGCUCCCUCCAUCCAUCCAUUCCAAAAUAAGUAUCCUUUUAGUAUUCAAUUUUUGUCACAAAGAAUGUACCUUUAGCUUCUAGUAAGACUAAUCUAAUUAAAAGAACACUCACACAAAUAAAAUGGAACAUAUAGAGAAGCGUGUAGCACCAAUCAAAUGGCUAAUUGAUGUUAUUUGUUAUGACUACUAUUGUGUCUAAAUUUUCUAAAAGGACACUCUUUGUGGGAUGGAGGGAUUAGAGUCUAAUAAUUGCAUAUUAAUAUCCGUUCCAAUUAAACCAACAAAACAAGAUAUCACUCAACUAUAUUUCGAUACAAAACAAAAUAAUGACAUAUGGACCCUACAUUGCAUACUAAGAGACGAGUAAAUUUUGCAAUUUUUGGCAAGCUAUAAUUUAAACACAACUUUGCUAACGUUUUGGUGUAGCCCAUAGUUUGGUCGCGACCAAAAUUUGGCUGGACUAGAUGGGCUUAAACCAAACAUGCCCUUUGAUAGAAUCAAUCGGCGAUGGUCAAUAUGACAUGGUAAAACUCAUAGACUCAUGUUUGUGAUGUGGAUUUAUUUUAUGGUAUGGAUCAAUUGAUGAUCAUCCUUCUUAUUUUACGUGUUAACUUUGUUACAUAUUAGUAGUACCCAUUAUUAAUCAUAGUCGUUGAAGUGGACCGUUAGGUCAUGUGGUUUUUUCACUACCAGAUAGUCUCAUACAUAUCGUCUUCUUGCAAGUGCUGGCAAUCUAACGACACAAAUAGCUAGUAAGCGAUGGUAAUAUGUUGACGCUCAAGAAUAGAGAUAAUUUAUUGUCUUUCAUUUUAGUUACAUACCACUUGGGCCCAUCUAGAACCGUAAGUCCAGGAAAGAUGAAGCCCAAAAGACCCUAUUUGAACCCAUGUUGGCUGGCAUGGCGCAAAUCUCGACCUUGUGUACGAAGGCAACGAACCUUAAUCUAGGAGGCUUCUAAAAGAACUUAACACUUACAUAUCCAAAACUUAGUAUGAAAGAUACAUGGGAACAUGAAAAUGGAAGGUGUAAUGGCCGACACACCAUGCAUUGUGCUAACCAACACAUAAUAUUUUGACGUUGAUUUGACGUACCAUUUGAACCAGAGGUUUACAUAAGAUCUCAGGACUAACAUGCCUGAAGAUGAGUGAAAUUGGAACAUGGGAAGGUGAAAAAGGGAAGUGAACCAAUCGGUUCAUCCACUGAACUAACAGACACAAUUUGAUUUGGUGUUGGUUUGCUCAGGGUAUAAAUAGAGGGGGUUCCUCGAUUCAAAUCAGGGAUCCAUCCACUAGAAUUUUAUAAUAAAACCAAAUGACACGCACCAUACGAAGUUGAUGGCACCUGCAAGUCUUUGAUUUGUCUAGGAUAUGACUUAGGCUAGAUUCUAGCCAGUGUGAUCACCCUGAGUGAAAUGAUCAUACUGGAGUUUAGGAGCUACAUGUUUCAUCAUUGUAGAUAUGAUAUAUAUAGGUGGUGAUGAUAUAAUGUAUACAAUGUUGAAUAGAGUUCAUCAUGUCUUCCGAUCUAUUACCGACUGAGUGUUUACUUUUAUGCUUUCUACUAUCAUGGAUAUGAUUAUUCCUAGCGCAAUUCUAGAUUAGACUUUUAGCAUGCUUUAUGUAAUCACACUGAUUAGAUUUAGUGUAUCUGUCCUCCAUGAUAGCUAGACAUGUGCUUAAAAUACCCCCCUUAGAGAGCUCUUUGUGGUCAUGUCUAGAAACCUCUUGCACAUAAUGGCAGAGUGUGGCAUGAUCUGGGCUUAAUAGGGCAGUAGUACUUUGGGUUAGACCGAAGGUAAUAGUUUAAUAACUGUUUUUGGAUGAGAUGUUUAAUUUACUUGCUCUUUGGCUAAAGCUAACUACAAGACGUUUGGCUUAAGUUAACUUUGGUUCUGUUACAUAUCUACCUAUCUAUGGAUGUAAUCCACUCAUGCAUAUAUAGCUACCCUAUAUUGGGGUUAAUUUUUAUAUAUAUACAAUCUGAAUUUCAUGAUAAUAUUAGAUCUUUUAAGUUAUCAUAAAGCCUUAGAUUAGUUUGCCGCCGAUAUUUGUGGAUUCGGUUAAAGCCUAGAAUACUCUUGGGGGAAGCUACAAUUGUCACCAUGUACUUGACUUUUGCUUAUGGCGAUUACUUACAUGUUUUCUGCAAUUGCAAUUGCCAAUGAUAAGGGUGAAGAAGAAUCGAGAGGGUGUCAAACGGGGACAAAUAGACAAUCUUCACUUUGUCUUAGUUUCAUGCAACAAGUCAAUGUUAUUUUAAUAACUUGUACAAAUCAUCUCCAUAGAUGCAUGUAGAUGCAUCUAUAUAUCUUUUAUGACAAGAUUGCGUCCAACAUCACGUGUUCCAUUUUAUAGCGCGACCACCACCAAUGUCAAUAAGAGUAUAAGAGAUCUUUCUACUUCACAGCUUACCACUGGCAGUCAUUUGUUGCUGCCAUCUUAGGCCCAAGUCAUUAUUGUACACAUAGAGCAAUCAUUACCCAUGUAGACGUGCAGGCCCUGCCUUUCAUGUGGGGCAGGACCUACUGCCGGCACCACAAGAAGGUGAAGCGUUAGUGAUCACAUCAGAAGCUGCCCCAUCUGUAUGUAAGGGAGUACUUUGCAUCAUUGAAUAAAGCAAGAAAGAUGUUAUAUUUUGUUCCUAAUUUUUAUUAGCUUCCGUGAUUAUAUUCAUGUAAUAGUACUUGUUCUCUAAUAUCAAAUUUCGUAGGUUAGGAAUUUGGGGUUUUGGCUCAAAUUAUUGGCUGUUCUUUGGCUCAUAAGCUUGCUAGCUAUCAACUGGUGCAUAUGCAAGUACACAACAUGGAAAUGAUAUCUGUCCAAUUGAACCAAUGAAAUCAUAUAUCCUGGCAAGGAAGACAUGUCCUGCUAUUCAUGUGUCAGCUCAACGUUGGGUUCAUGCCAAAAGAAUUAACAAAGAACUGACUUUCCAUUCGGAUUUGAACCUGUCACAAUUUCUAAAUUCAAGGUAUGAGCUCUUUCUUUUUCAGAUCUAUAAUAAAAAAUGUCUCCCUCAUAAAUUAACUAAAGUGUUAUUCAUGGAGGAAACUGCCAAUGUUUAGGUUAUUGUGCAGAUUAUCCAUUCUUCAUGAAACUAAAUGGCAACAUUUUAAUAAUAAACAUAGAUACUACAAGAAUUUGAAAAUCAUUAUUAUAAUAGUAUUUCAACAAUUAGUAGAUAAUAAUUUAAUCUUACAAUUUUUUAUAGGUUCAUCCCUACACAUGAUUUUAUCAUCUGCAAUAUUAUAUUUACAAAUCAAAUGCAUACGCCAAUUUUAUUUCCUUCCAUUUCCUGCUCUAUGCAAGAUAAUAACAUUAGCAUUGUACUACACAGUAUAUAGACUUGUUUGAGGACUAAAAAAAGUUGCCUCUAGCUACCGCACUUUGUUUCUUCUUUCUUGUAUGUUGAUACAACCGAAACUACACUGUAUGUUGAGCCAUGAAGCUAUUACUUAGGUAGGGGUAGACAGUGUUGUCUUAGAAAGUUUCUAGCUCCUCUGUUAGUAAGAAAUGGUAGUCCCCCAAGGCCAUGAAUCAAUUAAUAUGAUAAACACGUGGUACAAAAUAUUGGAUUUUUACAUUUUCUGCUGUUUGGUUUUGUGUGUUUAUGUGUAUCUUUUUAUUUAUAUAUAUUCUACUUGAUCAUAUUGUUCAAAUUUUUUUUACAGAAGGGGCUGGAGCCCAUAUAUUUAGAUUGCCAUGAAGUUUAUAAAAAUCACCCUGGAGAAGAUCAAAGUUACAACACGCCUCAGCACACAAACUCCAUUGCACAAUCUUACACAAAGGACCCAGAAGAAAAAUAAAUUUGACGUAGCAAUCCUCGGAUCCUCUGCCGCUGCUCCUAGUUGGAGCGCCGUAAUCAUGAUCCGCCAGAGUCAGGGAAGGAGCACCGUAAUCGGGAGAAGAGGAGCUCCACCAAGCAGCCCAACGAGACCUCCAGCUUUUUAACGCUGCAAGACAUCUCUCCACUGGGGUAUAUUGGCAGUCACUGUUGGAUUCUUGGCUAAGUAGAAGACCGAUGACGCCGACGAGGUCGACGACCCGGAAAAGGAAUCGAGCGACAACAUAGGAGAACAAAAAAGGAACCCCGUUGACCUGGAUAGAAGGCAACCCUAGCUAGAGGACAGAGGAUCUCCAAUCCCAACCGCGCAUAGGGUAGAUAAAACAUACCAAAACAUAUCCGCACUAGAAAUUGUAAUUGUUAUUUUAUAGAUUGUUCGGAUUUUUAAUCUUGUCUCUCUACAUUCUAAUAUCAUUUCAUUUUUCUGUAGACUGACAUAUAUACUUGUGCACGAACUGUGAAGAGCUUAAGUAUUGCUCGUGAAACCCCAUCUUCUAGGGCUAUACUAUUUGAGCUCUCUUACCAACUACUUGCUGCCAUGUUACGAUGGUGUGUCACAGUUGCCUUUUUAACUUGCUUGUGUUGGCCUUUUCUUUUGAGGGCAACUUGCUUGCUGCGUUGAGUUAGUAUGUGUUGGACAAUUUAUGAAGAAACUGGGUUUGAACAUGGAGUCCAUGCGUUUCUUUACCAAAGGCUUUCAGUAAUCAAAUCAAUCAGUGCACAGAAAAGAGUUGACCUAUAUACUAUACUUAGAGCAGCAAACUAAAAAAAAUGCCAGCAGUCGCUGGGCACACCCCUUGGCACAGAACCUCUUUCACGCGGUGGUUGGCGUGCAACAUCAAAAAUUCGAAGUCGACAUACAGACAUCUAGAGGCAGGAGUGCGCCAGUGUAUCUCAUUCAUAUACAUACUGAAUGCUAAAAGUAGCGCUUGGCUGAAGCUAUCCCACAAAACGGGAUGCACGGCGAUGCGGUCGAACGCUCACCCAACAUGGUGUCGCACACUUGGAUACAUGUCCUGGAACCGUCCUUGGGAUCAAUCGGCUUGAUCUCAACGCUUAGCUCUAUCCCUCGGCCCUGCCGGUCGCGCACCAUCUUGUCGCACAGCCUCUGGGACAGUAAGACGCCACCUUUCGGCAGAGACACGUCCAGGUCCACGGCCGACCACCUGCCCACGCAGAAGGAAGGCAGUCUGCUCCACCCGACGACGCUCGUCUCGUUGUAGUACAUGACCACGGCCGUGUUCUCCCAGCAGACUCGCCGCAUAUGCUGUUGUUGUCCACAUGGAUGGUGAGGCUGAAGGCCGGCGCCGAGACAGACGCAUCAAGGCUCUCGAGACCUUAAACUUGGACAGAGAAGCGAGGGUGCACGUAGCGAACCCGGCCUAGCAGGUACGCCGAGCCACAGAACAGCAGGACGAAGGCGCAGGACCACCAGGAGCCAUGCAACGAAGGGAGGAGUUUCGCCGUUCUCGCCUCGUUGGUCGGGUCUCACUCUCGCGUAGUCGGCCAUGACACCCCCGAGAUCGAUCUGUGAACGAAUCUCAGAGAUAGCCGCCGCGCCGGUCUGGAAUAUAAGGGGGUGUUUGGAUACACCCUCCUAAACUUUAGGACCUGUCACAUCGGAUGUUUGGAUACUAAUUAGGAGUAUUAAAUAUAGUCUAAUUACAAAAUUAAUUGCACAGAUGGAGUCUAAUUCGCGAGAUGAAUCUAUUAAGCCUAAUUAGUUCAUGAUUUGACAAUGUGGUGCUACAGUAACCAUUUGCUAAUGAUGGAUUAAUUAGGCUUAAUAGAUUCGUCUCGCGAAUUAGUAUAGGGGUUCUGCAGUUGGUUUUAUAAUUAGCUCAUGUUUACUCCUCCUAAUUAGCGUCCGAACAUCCGAUGUGACCCUCCUAAAGUUUAGGACUUCGUAUCCAAACACCCCCUUCUAUAGCACGCGCGCCACGCAGCCAGCUAGGAUCCGUUUCGGUUGGCCGGUGUUCCGAGCUAAUCGUCGUCGGACUCCCUAAUCCGAUUCGAGUCCAAGUUCAAAAACCAGUACCACCUUUCGAUGCAAUUCAGUGCUCUGAGUUGCAAGUUUUCUUCUUCGUUAAAGAAGAAAUUCGACUUCGACAGAAGGCCUAUGGCACGCCGAGUGUCGACUAGGAGCAGCAUAGUGCAUCUUAGAGCUAUGAGAUCGGAGUUUAUAUUUCAUCACGUAAUCUUAUUUAUAUAAACAGUUCACUCAUCUUUCUCCUUAUAUGAUAUAGCAGUGCUCCUGCCCCUUUACGUUUAAAAAAAAUCAGUACCGCCGCCUCUGCCCACGCAAGACCCGGAUCCGUAUGGAUGACGGAAACAAUUGCAAUAGGUGACUAUAAAUAGCACAGGGCCAAUACAUACAUGGGCUAUAGGCACGAAAUUUCUCCAGACGCGCGCCCUGGCUACAAACUUCGCUAGGCGAGCCAUGGAAGGUCUCCGACGCGUUGGACACCCGUUCUUGGACUUCGCUUACGAGGGACUCCCUGCCCGCCACGACUCUAGGGUGAAAUUCGCGCUAGACUUCGUAGCAAUGCAGCUUGGCCUCGCGAUCUCUUGUAUCUAUGUGCUCGCGUCGGUGAUCUUUUGCUUGGUAAUGCACCAUAAUAUCAUGUACUCGGUGGAAGAUGCGUCGUCUGGACACUGCUAACAGGUGGAGGUCACCGGCAUCGAGGCAUCAGGUCUUCCGGGCCCGCAAGACACGACACCCUCGUCGCCGCUGCGCUUCAACCUCACUGCCCGCGUCGUCAACCGCAGAUCGGACACGCCGAUAUGCCUAAGAAACUGGCAGGUUGAUGUUUGGCACGCUGGAGUACCAUUUGGUAAGGCCUACUUCCCUGAUACGUGCUUGGAGGCCGGGAUGUCACAGACAGUAUUGAAGGCGUCUGCGUCGAACUCCGAGCUGCGAGGGCUGCACGGUGAAAUUCUUCAGCACCACAUGGCGAGCCGCACAUCACCUGGACACCUUAAUAAAGAACUGGUUGAGACGACACUCAACCAAUGUACAAAAUAGUAAGCUAUGAGAUUUAGCGUAGCGCUGUCCGCUAUAGUUCACUAUAGUGUCGCUAUAGCCCACUAAUUAGUACAACACUGUUGUAACGGUAGCUAGCAUCAACCGCUAUAGCCUGCUAUUUCAUACAUUGCACUCAACUACUUCAACGACCAUGAUCACAGAGGAAAGUUCGACCGGCUAUGGUGUCACGCAACAAUGGACAUGCAAUCGCCACAAUCUCCGUGUCGCAUUCACAAUUUAUGGCCUCUGGCAAAGUAGAGAGAAAUCUUCCUAGGUCAUGUGUUCGUUCUAUGUAUCAUUGGUAUACCAACGGGUCUACCAAUGGGAAUCAAGUAAUUAUAUUUAAUUUCUCCUAGCAAGAAAAAGAAGAGUACUAUAAAAAAUUUGUGAUAUAUACACAUGCCGAUAUGCGUGCGUAGCGCAACAGCGGUGCCAUGUAUACGAGACAUAUAUUCUUCAUCUUUAUUUCACUGGAAUCAGAUAUAUAAUAUAUUCUCCAUCUUUAUCCUUAAUAUGAUCCUGUAUUAAAUUAUGGGUUUCACAUAUAACAUAUUUGUCUUCUUUUUCUAAUCUGUGUUGCCCAUUCUCAUAUUAUUUUGUUGACGUGCACUUCCUUCGUUCUAAAUUAUAAUGCACUUUACCUUAUCAUAAAUGAAACUUAUUUAACUUCAACCAAGUUUAUAGAAAAAUAUCUACAACUUAAAAUUUAAUUUUAUUAAAUCUACCAUAAAAUAUAGUGCAUUUAUUUUGAAUUGUUGAUGUUAUUGUAUUUUUGUAUAAAGUUUAUCAAAAUUAGUCAAUUUUGACUUUAGGAUAAAACUAAAGUGAACUGAGAUAUUAACUUUUUGUGUACUUUGACAAGUAACAUAUGUUUCCUGUUUUUUUAAGAAAAAUAUCAAAUUUAUACCCUCCAACUAUGAUGAUGUAGUCUAAUUUUCAGACCUGUAUGACAUAAUCGGAAAAAAUUGGCCAGUGGUUAUGAAGGUAGUUUUCUAUUUUCUAAAAGUAAUAAGCAAUUGGUUUAAUAAAAUUCAUGACUAAUUUAUUUCAAAUUAGAAAAAUAUGAAACGUGUAUGUGUUUUUUCUCAAAAAAUUUAAUCUAUCUUUUGGUGGUAUAUUUUGUACUUAUUUUGGAACUUAUUUGUUACUUCACCCUAUUAUUUUAUUGCUAGCACUUGUGCCAAUUGCUUAUUUAAAUUAUUGUUUUUGCAUUGUAUAAAACCUAGAGAUGGACCAAGAGUUUAAGUGGACUGUAAGUGUACACAGAAGAUCUAGAAGACGAUACCAACCACACAAGUGCCAUGCUCCACUACAUAUAGAUCCUAUUAGGCAUUUCAUCACUACAACUUUACUUUAUGUGGUUACAUGAUUAGGCUAUAGGUUUUAAACAAGGCUGGGGAUCAAACAUCAAGUAAUCAACUAUUUGGAAAAUGACAAUUUAAGUAAAUAACAGACAUGACUAGACCAACAAGCAGUAAAACACAAGGAAUAUGAGGAAACAAGAUCAAAUAUAGGUACACUUUUAGAAAAAAAAGGUUGAUUCUAGUUUCAUAUUUUUAAAUUUGAAACAAAUUAGUUGUGAAUAUUUUAGAUUAAAAAAGUUCUUAUUAUUCCUAAAAAAUGGAAAACAUUUUUGAAACCACAUAAAGGACCAAAUUUGUAUGGGUUUAGUAGUUGGAUGGUGCUCGACGUGAUUUUGUGGUUUAGGGUUGAUUGAAAUAGUUGAUGGGUGUAAAUUGUGCAUAAUUAGAUUCCAUGAUGACCAUGAAUGUGCGUGCAGCAUGACGGUGAUGCCUCUUGCUAGGAGCACACCCACCCGAGUUUGAUUCCUAGCGGCAACGACUCUGGAUGUCCCACUGGGAUUUAUUUUCAAAUUUAAUUCUGCAAUUUCUGGACGUAAACGUGGAGUCAUAAUGGUAUUGUGACAUGCUCGUCACCUAUGAAGCGCUGCAUGAUUUCAUCGAUAACCAGAAGGAUGGGUGGUGGAUGUAUAGUUUGUAGGUUUAGCAUAUGUGAGUGUGUGUGGGUGUAUAUGUGUGUUUGUGCGUGCGUUCAGAUAUUAAAGUGGUACCUUAGUUGUCAUGGCUAAAAAAUUAGUCAAUUAUGGAUAGUGAGGUUGAAAGCCAUCACAAAGACAAUAGAAUUGCACAGUGAUGCGCCUGACGUGCCCAUCAUCUUCGCUUCACCAAGCUCUUGAUACCAAUUGUUGAUUUUGCUCAGAAUCACAAACGAAUUUGGAGAGAAAAGAAUUGAAGGAAAAACACACACAAUUCCAGAACUGCAACAGCUUAGCUCUUCCUCCUUUUCUUUUCCUACGUCCUCAAAAUACUGAUGCUUUGCUCUGCUUUUAUAGUCCAAACAGAAGCAUAGCACUUGUACUUGGAAUACAACUCUACCUUGAUCGUGCGGACAUACAAGGCUCGAGGCCAUCUCAUCUAUGGUCUGAACUUCCUUGUUUGCACAUCUACUUCCUAAACUAGUAUAUGGCAAUAGACUCUAAAUCGGACUUGAUUUGAGUCCUUGCUUCUGACGUGCAUGUUUUUCAUACAGAUACAUGCAUGACCAGUCCUACAAGGACUCAAAUACAUAAUGCUUGACUACAAGUACGUUUAAUCUACUUGCCUACUUUAAUAAUAAACUUGAACCAUGCCUAAAUAUACAAAAAACGAGAUUAAACCCCACAUUCUAAAGAAAGAAAGUGGCCUCGGACAACCUACUUAGGCAAACCAUGGGCACUCAUAUGGCGCAAAUGCUCCAUAAUAAGGAUCUAAUCCACAUGGACAUCGCCAACAAUAACCUCUUUUUUUCGACUCAAUCUAAUGUAAGCAUCAAAGAUCAGGCAGGGAUGAAGAAAGUGGUGAAGAAGUAGGGUGUCAUGUUGUUGUUCUAUUGCUUGAUGCUAACUUGUUCCUCCUCUUGUUACUAAGUUUCUCCAUAUACUUGCUCUUUGUCUUCAUGUUAGGAUAAAUAUUUUAUUCGUUGAUGAUUCUGGUGAAGAAGAAUAGGAUGCUAGUGGAGAAAAGGAGGUAGUUAAAAAACAUUUUUUUUUCUUUAGCAACGGAAAAUGUAGAGCCAUCCUACAUGAUCAAUUGAUUGGAUCUUGGUUGAAGGGUGAACAUCGAUGUAUAGAAUAUUUAUGGUCCCAAGUCAAUAGGUUACUACUUUUCUACUAUGCUUUGGGAAAUUUGUUUGCUUGUCAGCUGCAGUACAUGUUAGGCUCUAGCUUUGGAUGUUGGAUAUUCAUCUAUACGAUGUUGUUGUUUAGACCCGCAACCUAUCGAAUGUAUCCCAAGAAAGUAGAUUGGUUAGAUGGGUUUGUUGAGAUCAGCAACUCGAUGGUGAAGGCGAGACACGAUUUAGAUAGGUUCAUUGAAUAUUGUAAUACCCUACGCCAUGUGUGGUGUAUUGCCUUGCAUUGGGAAUUGGGAUUGAUUGAUUCUUUAGGGUCCCUGCCUAGCCUUAUAUCCGAGGACUAUGUUACAAGUCAUUUGUACACAAAUCCUAGUUGGCUAAGACGGGCGAAGUCCUAAUCUUAUACAAAGGAGUACUUUUCAUUUAUCAGACUAGUUUUAUUCUUAGUAUGGUUGACUACGUCAUCCUGCACCGUAGUCUCGAUCCGAGCAUGUGGGUUGUCCUAUCUCCAUUCUGAAGUUGUCCAUGCCACGCAGUAGGUUGAUGGAUCUCAGUUCGUCACAUGAUGAGGUGCAAUUUCCUAGAUCAUUAUUCGUAUGAUUGAAAAGAUUUUUUUAAAAAAAUGCAUCCUGAGGGGUUUAGAAUGGCUUGGGUUCCGUUUAUAAAGGAUAGCAUAAACAGUAUGCACAUUUUUAUCCUCUAGGGAGAGGGAUCGUGGCACAUGUAAUUCUCUCACUAUAUGUUUGUGCUUUGAUACCUAUAUUUGAUUUUGGUUCUUGAAGUCAAGUCCAUGCAUGAUUAUGGUGGUGUGAAUUAAAUACCCUAUUAUGAAUUUGAAAUUUAAAUUAAUAUGCAUUGUGUAAAGAAUAUUUUAGCCAAAUUUAUAUAGGCUGCUCACAACUUUAAGAUUAUCGUAUUAAUUUAUGUAGCCUUCGCAUUGUUUAUAGGAUAAUGGUACAUAAGAACUUAUAAAAUUUAGAUCAUUAAUAGGACUGUGACCUAGUGUCAAAUAUAUUCUUUUAAAAAGAAUUUAUAGACCAUGAAUAUGUUAAUUUAGGAUUUUAAAAAAUUAUUAGAUAUUUUGUUGGUCAGAUUAUAUUUGAAUACUUUGAUAUUAAUCAUACAUGUUUUCAUGUUGUAGCAAAUAUUUCAUAAAUCUAUCUAAAGGUGAAGUACAUACUAAAUGUUUGGACAUCUACAUGGAGUACAAUUAUAGUUCUACUUAUUUUGUCUCUAAAGGUAAGACACAUGUUGACACAUGUCCAAAGCACAAUAUACCUUACCAUGUUUUGCCAAGAAGUGAAUGCCUCACCAUUUAUAUAGAAGCAAAUCAGUGGUUGCAUGAACAAAAUCAAAUCUUUGUAACACUCUUUCUAUUACUAGAUUCAUAAGAAUUAUCAAUUAUUUCACUAUAACAAUUCACUUGUUUUAGUCAAUUUUGAAGAUCAAAACUUUAUUUGGAUGAUAUUUUUUAACAUCAAGUGCACACAUUUAUUGGACAUUUACUUACUUUUUAGAUGCCUUGGUUAUUGUUACACAACUUCUUCUACAUAUCUUGAGUUUAGAGUUAACAAUUAGAUUGUAUGUUGUUAACUUAGGUAUAUAUGUAGGCCAACUGUUUGUUAGCUCAACCCGAACAUGAGAUUUUUUGUUAUUUCAUAGAAAAAUUAUUAAUUUCUAUAUUGGUUAUCCAGUAGCAAACAUAAUAUAUUAUGCCUCUUGGGCUAUGUAUGGUUGUUUUCUCAAUCUUUCUAUGAACAAACAGGGCAAGCAUAUUUCAAACACUUACUCUCUCAAUUUUUCUAUGGACAAAUGGAAAAACGAUGCAUUGCUUUUAUAAAUUAAAAGUCUAUACUUACAAAUGAUACUAUCAACAUAUUUGAUGAUAAAAUGCAUUGUUAACUCAUGGGAUUUGUUACUAUUUCCUUCAAGUUUUGCAUCAUGAAUAUAAACAUGACCGAUACUAUUAUUGUUAUUGUAAUACUUACCAAUUUGCCAUGAGUGGUAUUUUCACACCAAGCACGCUACUUGUAUAUGGGGUCACUCUUAUAAUUUGUUCAAUAGCAAUUGUUAUGGUACUCCAAAAUGAGUAUGGGAUAGACGAAUAUAACUAUUAUAAUUGUCACGCUAAUAGAUGAAUAUAACUAUUAUAAUUGUCACGCUAAUAGAUGAAUAUAACUAUUAUAUUAAAUUUAUUUUUUUUGGAAAAUAGGAUAAAUAAGGGAAAAAUUACUAGGUAGACCUAACUUUCCUAGAUGGCCUAUUAGAUCUAACUUCUUGCAUGAUGUAUUGUGAUAGGUGCGUUAAGUGACAACUAAUGUAUCUUUUUUUUUUGCUAGUGUGUUAAAAAGAAUAACAUGACCUAUCAUGAAGUGUGUGACAAACUUGAAAGAAAACAUGUAUUAAUCAUGUUUCAUGGGAUAUUUUGCAUGCGACAAACCAUAGCUGAAAAUGUGCCUUCAAACCAUGGUGAGUUCUCCACAUGUGAUACCUCUGUUAAUGGUCAAGAUGUGACAUGCAACAUGUUAGGUCCAUAUGUAUUUUACCAAGUGCAUAACUACAAAAGUGAGUAACGAUAUAUAUUUCGUUCAUUCAAGACUUUGUUUGGAGUAAACUGCAUUACUAUAAAAGUAACACACAACUUGCAUAGCAGGUUCACACAGGUCAUAUAGUUUGUGUCACACCCGGGUUUAUAAACACAACCAAAUGUUCACUUUAUGUAUGUCAUGAUCAUAUUACAUACAUAAAGUUUGAGUACAUCAUCUGAUAUACAUUGCCAUAUCAUGUUAAAACAUCACAAAAUGACCUAGCGGUCCAAAAGAAAAGUACAAUUAUUGCUUGUUAUCUUGUGCAGAAGCAGGCUCCAUGACCACAGACAAUCAACCGGGGGUUCACACUCCUAGAUCUUCAUGGCCUUCAUCACUUGAGCAGCAUUUAUGGAGGGAGAGAGAGAGAGAGAAUAGUAGAGGUUGAAGGGGAAAAGUGUGGGAGGUAAGGAAAUGAAGGUUUAGAUCAAGAACUAGCUGCAAUUUGCAAGCACAAGUUUUAGUCGGUCAUAUUUUAUUAAACUACAUACUUACUAUGAUGAGAGUCUGCAACCCAAACCCAACUUCAAGGUGAAACAUCUAUCAUCUAGAGCCAAACAACCCAUCCAAACCAACCAUACCACCAACUAACCAUGUGAGGGUCCAAGCUACUCUUGUUGAGCAUGUGGCGGUUAUAACCGUUUUACACUCUGCAGAGGGGGUACAUCUUUACUCACGAGUUGUGCUACCCGUUCAUGCCUGGGGUUGCAAGCCUCUUCACACAUUGCCAAGAUGUGUGGGCUUGGUACACUAUGAGGCAAUUACAUAGGUUCCCCAACACUUAUUCACCAGACUCCAAGUGCACAACCCAUCAUUGAGCCUUGCUGGACUCUUGGGAACUCGGCUCUUAUCUAGCCCAAACAGUCCACUAGGUUGCCCUACUUAAUUAGCUAAGACCAUAGCCCAUUUAGUUCUCGUGGUUGUGCAUGUCCUUGAAAUGGCUCAAGCAAGAUGAGCAUCAACCCAAAACACCAUCCACCAGACAAAUACUUGCUCGAGUCCCUAGGCUUCCAUGUUUCUAAAAGAUUACCAACCCAUGUGAUUACAUAGUUGAUUAUUCAUUAUUAAAAUUAAACCCAACCCAGGUGUAGAGCACAACUAAGCAAGUCACUACCUAAAAACCAUAACACUCUCUAUGGGCUUCAAGGAAGUCACAAACAAAUCUAGUAACCCAACAUAGGAUUCCCAUAGUAACUCAAUGCGUGAAUAAAGCAUAAAUAGAAAGUGAUAUUAUUGUAAAUGCAAGUAAACAGGGAGUAUGCAUCAAGGACACUUGCCUUCGUCAUGCUUUUGCUGGAUCUUCACGUGCACUCGAUCUUUUCUCGAACAGCUACUUGCAGCAACUAUCGGAAACAAGCAUACAUACAAAAGUAUAAGAAUAGUACACUUGAAGGGACCGUGACACCCUAAGAGGAGGGGGUUGAAUUGGGUGUUCUAAAAACUAAGACUCCAAGCACAUAUAAAAACCUAUAUCAACUUCUAUCUAGAUGUGCACUAGGUUUUUCUAUGUGUUGCUAUAUCUACCGUAAAAGAGUUUUGCACCCUAGGUUCCAAUCCUAUAAACUACACAUGGCAAUUCUAGGAAAGGUAAACGCGGAAUUGUAAGUGCAAUAAGAAAAGUGAAAGGUAAAUGAGGUAGAGAAGGCAAACUCCUGGCGUGGCGACACAGCAAUUUUUUCCGAGGUAUCGGAAAGUAAAGCUUUCCACUAGUCCUCGUUGUUGCAGCCCCUCUCAAAGGGAAUGCCCGUGCAAGGGCAUAAACUCCCCGGUCAAGUAACUCCGUAUGAUAGCCGACGGGCCUUCCCCACGCGUAAGUGGGUCUCCGCCUAGCCUCUCCCAGAUGCUCCUUGCAGCUCUUCACUUGGUAGAGCUUUGGCAAAACGCCAAGGGCCUCUCCUCCCUCUCAAAAGCACCGGCUGCCACUCCACAAACGCGGUUGGAGGGUCUUGAGAGACUUACAAGCUUCGGAUUUACAACUCUUGGUGCGCGCAAGCACCGAUACAAAGGAGGUGUGCAAACUUGGCCUAACUCUAGGCUAAACCCUAAAUCAAUGCGCUAAUAGGUCUAAACUAGCACUAACCAAGACCUAAGCCUUACAAUAAUUGUCUUAAUUUUCUCUUUAGCACUUUGGUAUAGAGCACUUGUGUUCAUGUGAGAACCAAGCCUAUAGUUUCUCCAAGCUCUAACAUACCUCAAAUGGCCGAGCAAUGGGGUAUAUAUAGCCCCAACUCCAAGAACUAGCCGUUACAUAGCCAUUGUAACUUUCUGUGUAUCACCGCCUCAUUUGCUACCCUUGUCACUGUAGCCACCAUAUGAAUCGGUGAGGUCCAAUUAUACUCCAAAACUUCUAGAGCCGAUUUAUAGCCGGUUUGAGUCGAGCCGACGAUCACCGACUUAUUCAGUGACGGUUACUGUUACCAGAGUAUGAAUAGGCGGUAACAAUGCACGCGCCUACCUUUGCCCUGCCUGUGGUCACCGACUGAAUCGGUGACGGUUACUGUUCCUAGAGUAUGAAUCGGUGGUAACAGUGCAUGCCCUACCUUGACCCUGCCUAUGGUCACCAACUGAAUUGGUGAUGGUUACUGUUACCAUAGUAUGAAUCGGUAGUAACAGUGCACGCGCAUACCUUGGCCCUGCCUGUGGUCACCGACUGAAUCGGUGAUGGUUACUGUUACCAGAGUAUGAAUCGGUGGAAUAUGUCGAUGCAUAUUUGUAGCAGGAUUCGCUUCAAAUCUUCGCGUGUCUUUGUCCAUUCUUCAUUAUCAUCAUUUGUAAGCCUUAGAAUAAGACUAAAACUAGAUUUUUACUAUCAUUUGGAUGCCAUAAAUUUCUUCUAAGUCUUUCUUUUUCUUCUCAUUUUGAUGGUUUUGUAAUUCAUCCUUGGGACUUAUAAAACAUAUGUCAGGCAUACAUCCAUGGGUCCACCAGAAGGUUAGUAUGAAUCCACAUGUGGAGAAGUACACCGAGAUGUAUCAAGACAUGGAGACUACGGUACGGGGGUGGCGUGGUCUAUAUGGAAGUCCAAGGGACUGGUCGAGGAUAAGGAAACUACUCUUCCUAGUUGAAGUAGUAAUCGGUAGUCAGAUCCGACUAGUACUCUUGUAAAACAACUACCCUGUAACCCUGGUCCCCCAAUAUAUAAGGGCAGGCAGGGACCCCCCUCAAGAGAAGUUCAAUCCAAUACAAGCAAACACCAUACAGGACAUAGGUAUUACGCAAUCUAGCAGCCCGAACCUGUCUAAAUCGCGUGCCUAGGUACUCCAUCGAGCUCCUAAUUUCGACGACACCCACCAACCAAAACUCUACCUCGGGUAAUCCCUUAGUAGGUUGCCGGGUUUAAACACCGACAACGUACAUCUUGCAAACACAUUAGUCCCAAUGACUAUAUUGUCAUCAAUCACCAAAAUCAUAAUGGGCUAGAGCCAUUUUCCUUACAACACUAAAUAGUGACAAAAUAGUAUUGAAAGAAUUUUAAAAGAAUGGUCUCAUCGAUACAAACUCGUGAGCGCAUGAGUCACUUAAAUCGGAAUCACGAGUAAAAACUAAAAAGUACUAAUAGUUUUACUAACCAAGAAAUAAAAUGUAAAAUAUAACAUUUCUAGAAUUAUUUUUAUACUGGAAAAUGGUAUUAAUGACAUCAACAUGGGUGGUUUAUGACAUCAGCAAAGAUUUAUGGAAAAGUUUAGUAUAUUUAUUGGAAUUUUGGUAAGUUUAUCUGGUAAUGAUGUCAGCAUAACGUCAGCAUGAACUUUGAUGUAAAUAAAGUAUUUAGAAUCGGUUUUAUUGCAAGUUUUACAAGAUACGAAGAACGGUUGACUAAUUAAUUACUAGGUUUCUCACGGGCUAGAAUGUAAGAUAGCCUGGCCAAAUAUGUUGACUUCAGUCAAGGAUCAAUCUCGGUUCUAGGAUCUGGUUUGGGCGACUGGAUUUUAAAAAACAAGGGGGGAUGGUGGGAUUUAAUCAGGGCCGUGCACGCGGGGUGAUGGACGACAAUGAUGCGCCGCCAGUUUAUGGUCACUGGUGCCGCCUGGAAUUGAAGCACCAGUUCAUUGGACUAGCUCGAUGCUAGCGCUACGGUGCAUGGGAAACGACAGGGAGUAGCACAAUAGGGAGAGGAGCGAAUGGCGAGCUCACCAUGGGUCGGAGAUUGGGUAGAGGCACGGCGUAGAUGUCGUGUAGCGGAUGGAGGUGGAGCGGUUUGGUGGCAUGGGGUGACGACGUGCCUGUGGCCUCGAGUGGCAGACGUCGAGUAGCGAGGUGUUCCUAUGAUAGCAUGGAAAGGAUGAAGGGUGAGAUCCGGACAUCGCACGGUGAAUUACGGUGGCGGAGCCUUCAUCUUACCCGAGGCGGAUGGAAUGGAUUCAGCGGGCGGGUGCGAGAGGCGAGCGUGGCGGCGUGGGUUGGCAAAAAGGGAGGUCGAGGAGGCUCGCAUGGUUUUAUAGGGAGGAAGUGCUAAAAAUAUAGUCUAAAAAUUUAUUUUUGGACCUUGCCAAAAAUUAUUGGGCGACAAUUCCAAGAAAGCUGGUUCCAAAACAAAUCAAAUUGCUACCACACCAUAUUGUUGUGGGCCCCUACUAUUGUUUUUUUUUCACGUCAAUAGAAUGCCGCUUCUUUCUUUCUUUUUUCUUCUCACCACGUUGUUGCCAAGCAAGACCGUCAUGGCCAUUGCUUAGCGCGGUGGACAAAAGCAAGCCGGCCAAAGAAAUUUGGGGGGCGAAUUCUUGAUCUGGACAUCUUUAACCGAGCUUUGAGACUGAGGUGGCUCUAGCUGGAGUGGAUUGACCCAGAUAAACCUCGGGUUGGCUCUGAGGUACCCUGUAUUGCGGUGGAUCGGCAACUGUUCAGGGUAAGCACUGUGGUUACAACUAGGGAUGGAAACGAGGUUUCGUUUUGGCAGUCAUCUUGGUUGAGAGGUCGUGCGCCGAUGGACAUUGCACCUAGACUAUAUAAGUUGGCCUGGCCUGGCGUAAGAACAUGGAGGUGAGGGAGGAGUUACCAAAUCAUUAUUGGACGAGAGGUUUAUGGUGCAUGAACACAGUUGAGGAGAUGGUGGAAUUUGUUGUCCUGUAGGAUAUGGUUCAGGAUGUGGUUUUCUUUGGUAGGCCAGAUGAAAUUUUGUUUGGCGCUGGACUGCUGUGGAGCUUCUCUCUCCUGCUCAGCAUACAUGGCACAGUUAUCUGAUUCAUACAGUACAUUUAGUGGAAGUUCACAAAUUCUUUGCAUGGCUGCUGGUGCAAAGUAAGAUAUACUUACUGCUGACAAGCUGGUCGUAAGAAAUUGGCCCUGCAACACAACUUGCUGUUUAUGUGAUCAGGAAGAAGAGACAGCACAGCGCACCUUUGCCUGCAUUAUGUGUUCACGCGUGAGAUUUGGGUGCACAUGAACUCCUGGUGCUGGAGUAUGGAAUGUCGAUCGAGGAUUGGUGGCAGCGAUCUCUCAGCCCAUACUCAAAGAUUCAGAGAAGGAAUGUAGCAGCUCUGCUCAUGUACACUUCUUGGAAAAUAUGGAAGUAAAGAAACCGGCGCACCUUUGAUGGAAGAAUGGUGAAUGCAAUGCAGGUGUUCUGGUUCAUCGAAGAAGAGAUCGCUGUGAGACAGCAAGCUGUCGGAGGGCCAACUGUAUCAUAGGAGUAGUUUUUAGUUACUUUCUGUUAGUUUAUUUUCAGCUGAUGAGAGUGUUCAAUCAUUUAUGUAAUAAGCCCCAUAUAAGACAUGUUAUGCUUCCUCUUCUAAAAUUAAUCGGCUAUACGUACUAGACUACUCUCGAGUGCCGUAUAGAUUUCGCGUAUACAAUGAUACUACAUAUAGCAUACUAAACCCUCCUAUUUAGCACAUCUCUUUCGGGAUAUGUAAUUCGUCUUGUCCACUAAACUGUGAAUACGGCACGGUGAAGGUGGAGAUUGCACAUCCAUUACUGCCGCGUUGCACCAGAGCCAGUGGAAUACUGGAGAGCUGUACGAUACGUUACGGCGCCCCUUAGACUCCACGUACAUGUGCGUCAUCUCGAUCUGUAGCUUAGGGUCUCCGUGUGAUUUCUGCCCUGCCAUGCGGCGUUGAACUUCACCUGUCAACCCGAUCAGCUCGCUGCGCGACGUGGACGCCUUCACCGACGCGUUCGACAUCUUCUCCAAGCAGGUGUCAGGGAAGUAGGCCGUAAUCCAUACAGGCAUAUCCUUGUUUUCCAGUGCCGGCCGGUUCGUGACGCGAGCGGUGAGGUUGAAGGUUGGUGGCGGCGGCGGCGGCGGCGGGGCCGUCGAGUCUUGCGGGCUGAUCAGGAAACCUGAUGCCUCGACGCCGGUGAUCUCCGCCUGGUAGUAUCCGAGUGCAUCUUCCGCCGUCCAGUAGGCGAAGCCGUAUGCUGCGUGGCAACAGAGCAGCAACCCGAGCAGAACGAUGCCAAUCAGCGCGAACCCCAGCAGAAUUGCUACGAAGUCCAGCACGCGUUUGCCUAUCUCGUCUCGUAAGCAGCGUCCAAACCCAGCCGCCGCCUGACGCGCAGGGGAUGUUCGUUGGCUCGGCGAGCCAGGGACGGCGUGGAGCGUUGAGCCAGUAGAGGCUCCAUACUAACACAUCUUACAUUUUGGAACAUGAGAGUACUUUAUGAUGUUCCCUGCUUAAAUGGGAAAGAAACUUUUUUUUUUGCGUUACAUGUGAAGCAACACUGCUAUUCUGUUAUGUGAUGGCAAAGAUAUUUCAGUGACAAAAUUGUGAAGGAAGGCAAUGUUGCUAUGAGGGCCCAAACCUGGCCGGCCGGUAGCUCACGAUCACAUCGAUGCUCACUCUCUAAUCUCUGUUCUUGGCCGUAUAUAAAUAGAGACUGGAUUCUUUCUAAUUAUGUGUGUAUAUGUGCGUUUGGUUGCAGAUCAAGAUGGAAUAGUGUGCCACACAACACAACUAAUCGGAGUGAGAUACCGGAGGAAACUAAAUAGUUCGAUGGAGAUGCAUGCUGCCGCUGGCCACACUACCCUUGUUCGCUCAUCUUGUUAACCACAGCACAAAUGUGAGCUAGGCCUGCAUGAUAUUAUACUAAGAGAGCGACUGCUCGUUUCCCCCUUUGUGUAGAUUGGCAGGUUAAUGCUUGCUACUGCUAGAGUCAUUGUGUUAUCUCUAGAUGUCUGGUUGUACAUGGAAGAGACAGCGGGCCAAGGAGUAGAGACGCUUGCUUAUCGCAUCCUUUCUGGCAUGGCUUGCACAUGAUCCAGGGCCAGGAUCCGGUGUCGACAAGGACGGAGUGUAUACAGACAGGUGUUACGUAUGUAGCUAAAGUAGACCCAUGGAGCACUAUUGGCGAUGAUCUCCCUGGAAACGUUCACUUCAUCCAAGGGAUCCGAGAUGCUACUGGCGAGAUGAAUGGAACGUGACAGCAGUCCAGCACCGACGGGCGCGCGCGGCGCGACGGAGAAGUGCAAGGCAUAAUAUAGCAUAAUGUAUCACUCUGAAUUCUCCCACUUGUUUGAAGAACAGAAGAUGAGCACCGAGAUUAUACAGAAAAGAAAAUAGAAGAGUUUUUUUAUAAAUGGGGAGAGCUGCCCGAUUAUAUUAAAAAAAGAAGGAGUUGCAAACCGUAUGAAAAGAUAGUAUGAAAAGGAAAGAAAAACAAAACAGACUCGUCUGGUUGGAUUGAGAUAUCAACGCGAGUAGUCACUCAACUCAAAACUGCCAUACUCGACCGGUUAGAUUGGGACAUCAACGUGACCUCACCACUCCACUCACCACGACGGCACCCACCAACAACCACGCUCAUGUAUUCGCCGAAACCUCCGGGCGUGACCCUGCGUGACAGGAUUGAUAGAAAUAGACUGCACCGCACCGAGAAGGCCACCGCCAUGCGGGACCCUCCGUUGUAGUGCCGCUGCAACGCCACACUCCACCUGACAGAGUGAUGCCACCGAAUCCAGACCUCUCGCAGGCUGCCUCACAGUCGCCACUGCGAUAACAUAACGCGUGGGGGCCUCUCCAUAUCCAUUGUUGGACUCCAUCUCACUCCCAUCGCCUCUAAGAAACACCACGCGCAGGGCCUUGCCACGCCCACCACAGUACUCCACAUCGCGGAUUCGUUUCUUUUAUCGCUGUCAGAGUGGUGAGCAAUGUUGCCCGCUCCACAAUAUUUGCGUCGAUCAGCCAAACCGCCACCGUAGGUCGACUUCGCCUCGUUGCUUCACCCGCGCAAAAGCAUCCACCACCAUGUCAGUAAGCCAGAGAAGUCACUUGCGCUGUCUUCCGACGAUGUACCGUACCGGGUAGCCCAGCCAAGCUGAGCAACCCGCCGCGGUCCGCUACAAGCUUAGUUGUCCCACGAUGCCGUUGCCGCAAGCGCCGUUCUCCGACGCAGUCCCAUGCCGCACUGACCGUUGCCAAGCAACACCAGCCGCGCGGCCCGCUGCAAGCGACCAAGACCGACAAUCAUGCGACAACCCCUAGCCGCCACCAUAACUGCGAUCGCCUCCACGUGGCCUCAGCAACAUCCGUCCAGCUUGCCACGCGGCGAAAUUAUCGCCACCGGCUGCGGCCGUCCAUGACUAAUGGGCCAGCAAUGCCACAGAUAGAUAUGGAUCUCUAGAGACGACGCCUUCAAGGAGGGUACGAUGUCAAUGGUGCCGCCGUCGUAGAAUUGGAUAAAAUUUUCACUCAAAGGACCCCGUGCAGCAAGGUUGUAGCUCAGGCAUGAUGCCCUCAACGCGAAGAACGACGUCCUAUGGCAUACUCGAUGUUCGCCAACGAGCCACAGAAUCCCCAUGUGAUUACACGCAAAAUAGUGUAAGCAGUUCUCUUUCUUUCAGUAGAGUAAGCAGAGUGCGAAAUUUCUUAGCGAUUAUUCUCGCGUGUGAUGCAGCAAGCCCAAUCGGCUUAGUGAAACUUCUACCGUCUCGGCGCCGGCCUUCAACCUCACCAUCCACGAUUCCACGCCCAUAGCAAGCAGCACCUCCGGCGAAUCUGCUGGGGCGACAUGACCUUAAUCGUGUACUACAACGAGACGAUGGAGCACGCUGCUUGCAUUCUGCGUGGACAGGUGGUCGGCCGUCGACCUGAACGUGACCCUGCAUGUUUCUGGGCCUGUUCGCUUCAGCUUAUUCAGCCGGCUUAUCAGCCACCAAACAGUGUUUUUCUCUCACAACAAAUCAGCCGUUUCAACUUUUCAGCUGGCUUAUAAGCUGAAGCGAACAGGCCAGACGCUGCGCGAGAAGAUGGAGCGCGACCGACAGGGUUCUUCAUCUCGUCCAGCAAGAAUUUCGUGUUCGGAUCCAUGGCACCGAGUUUCUUUUGGAAUGAGGUAAAGUGGUGGUGGGAAUCCAGCACGGGUUCCAGGAUCUAGUCUAUCAUACGAGAUUUGAAGCAGCAGGCUUUAGAAUUCGAAGGAAUCGGGGAACAGAGGACAGCGAAAACUGGAGAAGAACAGAGGUGACAGGCUUAGGAGGCUCUCUCAAGUCUCAACUCACCCCCAUACUCAUUAGUCGUUACAUAGUGGGCUGGGCCCAUUGUGAGCCGGACACACGGACAUUGGGCUUCAUGGGCCGUUGGCUGACAGAUCAUCAUGUUCAAUUCUUCACAAUUCAGUUCCACUGCCGCUUCAUUCUCUGUUUCUCUUCAGGAUGCAAACAGAUAGCAGGGCUGCCAGACAGUGUCCCACUCUACGCAUGGGAUGGCAUAUAGUGAUGUGGAAGAAGACAAAGGCAGAUAUGUAUUGAAUUGUCACUUGAGAUAUGCAUAUAUUUUCCGGUCAUAGAAAAAUGAUGAUGCAUUCUAUGGCUAUUGUACAUGAGGAAACAUUAAUAGGCAAUGCAUCUUGCUGUAAAACUAGUAGCUGUACAAUGCUCAAAGUUGCCCACAGUGCACGCUUUGCCGCAACAAAUAUUUGACAAAUUGACUCGUGAGCAUGAAUCUGUUCAAACUUUGUACUCAUCCAUUCCAAAUUGUAAAUCAUUCCAAAAAUCUUGAAGAGUCAAAGUAUCUCAAGUUUGACCAAAUUUAUAUGAUAAUAUAAUAACAUUAAUGAUGUCAUCUAAAUAUCAUUAGAUUCUUCAUCAAUUAUAUUUUCAUGGUAUACCUAUUUGAUGUCAUAAAUCUUUAAAAUUUUCUCUAUAAUUUUGGUCAAACUUGAGAUGCUUUAACUCUCUAAGAUUCUUGGAAUGACUUACAAUUUGGGAUGGAGGGAGUAAGUUGUAACCUUGAUUCCUGAUAUGUGUUGUUGAUCAAGCAUCUUCGUCACCGUCUCCUCCAGCUUUGUUCCCGGUUUGCCGCCGGCCAGCGCCCCAACGACCGAGCAGCCCUCGGUAGUCGACGUCUCGGAGGCGCAGCAGCAAGUACAAAACAAUUCCCGAGAUGAACCCCAGUGCGGCGCUCGAGCCCGUGAGCGACACGCCGGCGCAGAUGAGCAUGACGAAGGACUCCUCCUUCGUGCCCAUGUCGCGCGACGCCAUGGCGAGCUCGACCCCAGAGAAGAGCAGCAUGACGCCCAGUAUCCCGAUGGGGAACUGCCCGAGGAUCGUCACGAACGAGUUGCCGAACACGAGGCCGAGCGCCAGCUUGCCGAUGGCCAGGAACACCACGGACGCUCCGCUCCGGCCGCCGAAACGGUACUGCCCCGCCAGUCCGCCCGCGCCGUGGCAGCACGGCAUGGCGCCGAACCAGCAGCCGACGAAGUUCAUGAGGCCGACGCUCACCGACACCCUCGCCGGGGAGAGCUCGGCCCGUUCGGGGAACAGGUCCGACGAGAGCUUGCACACGGCGAUCACCGAGUUCAGCACGGACAGCGGGAGCUGCGGCACCGCGCCUUCCCAGAACCCGAUCUUGAAAUCGUCCCAGGUGAUCUUGACGAUCCGCAGCGGCGCCGGCCCAAAACGAAGGCCCUGCACAAUCGACGGGUCACGCACGAAGCAGAGCAGCAGGCCGAGCGCGAACACGAUGAGCGCCGCCGGGACGCGGCUGCAGGAGCGGCGGCGGCGAAUCGUGCCGUCGCUGGAGACUUCCUCGUCGUCGCCGGAGCCGGUGGCGAGGAUGAUGAACAGCAGCGCCGCGAGCGCGAGGACCAGGCCGUCGAGGCCGAGGAGCGGGCGCGCCACGGCGGUGGAGGCAGAGGACGAGUGGGAGAAGUCCUGGACGUAGCGUAUGUACUUGACGGCGGUGAAGGCGAAGGAGAGCCCCUGCGAGAGCUGGAUGCCGCGCACGACGGGGAGCGGGAGGAGGCGGUAGAGGCAGGUCAUGAGGCCCGUAGCGCCGAGGAAGAGCAGGACGGCGGCGACCGACAGCCCCGCGGACAUGAUCUGCGGGAUGGUGAGGUGCGCCGAGGAGAGCGCAACAGCGGCGAUGGACUUCAUGGGCUGCACGGGCAUCGGGAUGCCGAAGAGCAGGCCCGUGGAGAAGUUGUAGAGCGCGGUGAAGAUGAGCGUGGUGCCGAGGUCGAGGUGCGACGCCAGCGACAGCGCGAGCACGAUGGGGAUGUAGGUGCCCAGGUCGCCCACCGCGCCGCCCAGCUCGGACCAGACGGAGGUCUUGAGAUGGACGGAGGAGGGGAGGAACCCGAGGCGGCGUCCGCUGCCCUCGGGGGGGAGGAGCGGGUCGCCGGCGGCGGACGCCAUGGGGGUGGGCGAGCGGCAACGACUUUCUCUGGAUGUUUUCUGGUGGAUUUGGGCUUACCUUGCACGUUUCUGACGGGAGAUGUCCCGGUGGCUCCACUGAGCUGAUAAAUAUAUGCGCGGGUGCUGUUUCCAUCGAGAAUUUAACACGAAGAUGCGAUCUAUAUGCUUUUUUUCAUACGAGGGUUUAAAUUUUAGCAUAUUUAUAUCGGAUGUUCGGAUGCUAAUUAGGAGUAUUAAACAUAGUCUAAUUACAAAAAUAAUUGCACAGAUGGAGUCUAAGGGGCGUUUGCUUCCACUGACUUAUUUUUAGCACGUGUCACAUCGAAUGUUUAGAUACUAAUUAGGAGUAUUAAACGUAGACUAUUUAGAAAACCCAUUACAUAAGUGGAGGCUAAACGGCGAGACGAAUCUAUUAAGCCUAAUUAAUCCAUCAUUAGCAAAUGUUUACUGUAGCAACACAUUGUCAAAUGAUAGACUAAUUAGGCUUAAUAGAUUCGUCUCGCCGUUUAGCCUCCACUUAUGUAAUGGGUUUUGUAAAUAGUCUACGUUUAAUACUCCUAAUUAGUAUCUAAACAUUCGAUGUGACGGAUGCUAAAAAUAAGUCAGUGGAAGCAAACGGGCCCUAAUUCGCGAGACGAAUCUAUUAAGGCUAAUUAAUCCAUCAUUAGCAAAUGAUUAUUGUAGCACCACAUUGUCAAAUCAUGAGCUAAUUAGGCUUAAUAGAUUCGCCUCGCGAAUUAGACUCUAUCUGUGCAAUUAGUUUUAUAAUUAGACUAUGUUUAAUACUCCUAAUUAGUAUCAAACAUCCAAUGUAACAGGUGCUAAAGUUUAACACAAACACCCCUUUAAUAUCAUGAUGGUGAUGUGCUUGGCACUACGGAGUAGUAUGUUAAAUAAUUGGAGCUUUCAUUCUGUUUUUAGAAUGUAGUCCGAAUUGGUUCAUGUAUGGGAUUUCAGUUGAACUCUUGAAGGGUGAAGGAUAGAUAGUUAUACUUAAAAAAGAUGAAAGCCAGAAUCAUCAAGAUCAUAUUAGCUGUUUGUUUUGAAAGUAUUUUCAUUGCCAUUAACACAUAUCUUAAGCCAUUUCCAGUCCUUGGUGUUUGAUUUGAAAUGUACAAUCCUUAAUUUUGAUGCAGUGUUCAACAGACUAGAAACAAUUUUAUGAGAACCUUUUCUGAAAUGCACGAUCCCUAUUUUUUAUGUGCAUUUCCAAAUUUGAAUUCUUUUGUGUUAUUUUAAGUAACUUUUGGGACGGUGCAAUAUUUUCUGUUGGGAGUCUAUUUAGCUGUCGACAGAUUUUUAGAGUAAAAUCUGUCAAAUUUUAUUAUGUUGCAAUGUUAUUUUCUAAUAUGAUUGAAACAUGAAGUACUAUGCAACAUGCCAGAACAUAGUAAAUAGCAUAUGUAACAUUAGGAAAAUCUGCCACAUUUCCUCCCCUGAAAUCACGAAAUAUUUUAAAAUAUUAAAGAAUAAUGUUUGCAAUAUCAGAUUUGAAUGUCAGAAAAUUCGACAGAUUUUCUUCUAAAAAUCUGCUUCCGGACCCAUGGUGAACAACUGAAGUUGCGCCCAACUGUAUAUCCUGUGACAUCGAAUUCUGUUUCGUCCGGAGGGGCGGACCAUCUGCCAUCGUCGUUGGACAACACUGGCUGCAACGUGGACGUGUCAAGUGGCUUUUCAAGCGACGAGGGGAGAGGGUCAUCUGAUAUUUUCCCAUCCGGGCCCAUCCUGAGCUUGCGUAGUCGCUCGGACACCCACGUGUUGGGUGACAACGUGACUUGCGUGGUCGCACGAUGGACCUUUUAGAAAAUGAUUGAGACACUAGUGAGGCUGAAACCUUUUUUACAAGCUGUCACCCCAAACUCACCUCAGUCCAUCCUCUCUUUCCUUGAUAGUUUGAGCAGCGGUAUCCGUCUUUAGCGUCGAAUUCCCUUGCCCCGUAUGUAAACGACCGUAUGACGGAAUUUAUUCACCGGAUUUAUCAAUCGGAUUCCUCUCUGCAACCUGCAUAUAGGUAAGUAAUUUCUCCAAAAGUUUCUUUUAAAAACCGAUCCUCCAAAAGCUUUGAUACAUUAGCCUCCAGAGACCGGGACUGCCUGGCUGCCACCUUCACUGCGGUGCGGGCCAGGAUUUUGUUGACUGUUUGACAUCGCGUCCAAAUCCCGACCGCUAACCGCGCGCACCAACCGUUGAUCCUCCCGAAAACCCAACACGCCCGAUGCGGCCAUGCCGCGCUACCUCUACUUCCGCCCCGCCGCAGGCCAUGCCCGCCCCCACCGCCACCCCCUCCUCGCCCACCUCGACGCCUGCGCCUCGCGGGCCCACCUCGCGGAGCUCCACGGCCGCCUCAUCCGCGCCCACCUCGCCCCGGACCCCGCCGUGGCCGGCCGGCUCGUCGCCCUCCUCGCGUCCCCGGCCCCGGGCCACGACAUGCGCUGCGCGCGCAGGGUGUUCGACGGGAUGUCCCGGCCGAACGCGCCCGCGUGGAACUCCAUGAUCAGAGGGUACACCAGCCGCGGCGCGCCUGGGGACGCGCUGGCGACGUUAAGGAACAUGGUUCGGAGGGGCGUCGUGCCUGACAGCUACACCAUGGCCGCGGCCGUGACCGCGAGUGCUGCUGGUGAUGGCUGGAAGUGGGAGUGGCGGGCGACCGGGGACGCGGUCCAUGCGAUGGUCCGGAAGAUUGGGUGCGCGGCGGACCUGUACGUCAUGUCAGGCCUGGUUAAUCUAUACGGCACUUUUAGAAGUGCUGAGGAUGCAAGGAAGGUUUUUGAGGAAAUGCGGGAGAGGGAUGUGGUGUCUUGGACGUCCAUGAUCUCAGCUUUUGCACAGCGUGGCAUGUGGGAUGAUGCGUUGAGGUUUCUAUCUGAGAUGCAGGCAGACGGGAUUUUUCCUAACAAAGUCACGAUUAUAAGCUUGUUGUCUGCUUGUGGGCAUGGGCAGGCUGUUGACAGAGGCCGGUGGGUGUAUGAUCAGCUUAGUGAAUAUGGAAUUGAGGCUGAUGUGGAUAUAGGAAAUGCACUCAUAAGCAUGUAUAUGAAAUGCGGGUGCAUGUCUGAUGCUUUGGAAGCAUUUAAGGUCAUGCCUUCAAGAAAUACUAAAUCAUGGAACACCCUGAUCGAUGGGUUUGUGCAAAAUCAGAAGCAUAAAGAAGCACUGACAAUGUUUGAGGAGAUGUUAUCGAAUGACUUUAAUCCUGAUGCCGUAACACUUGUUAGUGUUUUAUCAGCCUGCACUCAGCUUGGUGAUCUUCAGCAAGGGAGGAAUCUCCACAGUUACAUAAAAAGUCGUAGGAUUAGUUGUGACACCAUCCUUACGAAUUCUUUGAUUAACAUGUAUGCCAAAUGUGGCGAUAUGGUAGCAGCAGAAGUGGUUUUCCAGGCUAUGAAACAGAGGGAUGUUGUUUCAUGGACAACUAUGGUUUGCGGUUAUGUGCAGGGACGGCAAUUUACAGCGGCAUUCAUCUUUUUUGAAGAGAUGAAGGCUGCAGGAAUUGUAGCAAGUGAAAUGGCACUGGUUAGUCUACUUUCUGCUUGUUCACAGCUUGGGGCACUUGAUAAAGGAAGGGAGAUACACGCUUAUAUAGAAGAAAAGAACAUCAAAAGAGAUGUAUUCCUAGAAAGUGCCCUGGUGGAUAUGUAUGCAAAAUGCGGCUGCAUCAACAUGGCUGCUGAAAUAUUUAGCAAAAUGCAGUAUAAGCAAACCCUCACAUGGAAUUCUAUGAUCGGAGGCCUUGCAAGCAAUGGACAUGGGAAAGAAGCAGUCCAGCUCUUUGACCAAAUGCUAAAGUUUGGAGAUCCCAAACCUGAUGGUAUUACUUUCAAGACAGUCCUUGGUGCCUGUGCUCAUGUGGGAAUGGUUAGUGAGGGACUCCGUUACUUCCAUUCCAUGUCGACCUCUGGUAUUGCCCCUGAUAUUGAGCACUAUGGUUGCAUAGUUGACCUCCUAAGCAGAGCUGGGCUACUAGAAGAAGCAUUUGAGUUCAUCAUGAAGAUGCCAAUGGAGCCUAAUCCUGUAAUUUGGGGAUCACUUCUUUCAGCUUGUAGAUUUCAUCAGAAAAUAGAUUUAGUGAGGAGAGUCGGGCAACACAUAAUUAAGUUAGCUCCUAAUGAUGUGGGAACACAUGUGCUGAUUGCAAACUUACAUGCUGAAGGUGGUCAGUGGGAUGAUGUGCAGCAAAUAAGAGAGCAGAUGGGAAAGAGGGGCAUAGAGAAGUCACCUGGUCAUAGCUCCAUCCAAGUCUAAAUCUUCUUGAUGUAGUUUAACGUGAUACGUGAUCUGCCUAUAGUACACGAGGCUGACAGGAGCAAUGCCAACGAGUACAGUUUCUGUUUUUACAAGAAAUUAGGCAUCACAUGUCAAUUUCCAUUAACCUGUGUACAUGUGAUUAAUUAUUGUAUUAUUUUUGGGGUAUAAACAGUCAACACUACCUUAACCAUUUUGUGUGACGCCUCUUUUAAUAGCUAGAUACUCACACUUGGCAGUGGUGCAAGCUCAGCUAAAUUUGUCUAUGGUAGCAUUGGAUAAUGUUCAUGCACACAAUUGAAGCUGUGACAAGAACAGAAGACAUGUAAAAUAUACUCAUUUCAUAUUUCCAUAUGAAAUUUAGAACUUACCUGCUGUUCAGUUCAUAGAUUAAUCAACAUAGUUUUUUUAAUGAACUAUCUUCUCUAUGUUUGAGUUAUGCUCAUAUUAUUGAAGAAUCAUGCUUUGUAGCUAAUUCUUUGUACAUUGAUUUGCUAAGACUGUCCGAUUAUCUUGUUCCAAAUAAAUAACAAUUUGCAUUUUUCAACUAUUGCACUGUUCAUGCCGUCAACAUUCCUACAUUCUCCGAUCUUACAAGUCCAAGAGGCAAAACUGCAACCAGCCCUUCGCUGCACAUUGAAGUAAGAUAUUUACGCUUUUUUUAUAUCAAUUUCCAGUUUGUUGAUAUUGCCUAAGAAACGCAAGUCAGUAUCCAGAUUAUCCAUUUGGGGAUUGAAUUCUCAGUUUUCAUAUGGCUGGAAAAGACAGUUCUUCUCUUUUAGAGGGAGAAUGAAGACAGGUAACUCUCAGAAGGCUGACAUUAAAGGCCAAGCUCCAUCAAAAGGUAUGCGCAAAUUAACCUCACAUCUUUUCUGCAAGAUAUUAACUGUUUAAUAGUGAAGAAAUUAAAAAUAAAUGAACCCCACUAAUCAUGCAUACUGAACAAAUGACACAUUGAGGUUUUUUUUUCUCGAACUACGCAGGAGAGCUGCGUGUCAUUUCAUUAAGAAGGAAAAGCACGGAGGGACUGGUUAGAGCCGGACCCAAGUACAGGACUCACACCACACACACACACAUAACAAAAGCUCACAGGCUUGCCACAGGGAGCUUAUCACCAAAACGACCUAGCUAAACACCACAGCCUAAACAGCUCUGGAAAGCGACCAAGCAAGGAGCUCUUGAAGUUUAGAAGCUCCUGUCAUCCCCCACAGAUUACAUUCAUCAGCUACAGACCGGAGCAAAACUGGAAUGCUAGGCCUUGCUUGAUCAAACACACAAGAAUUUCUAUGUUUCCAGAUUUCCCAAGCCACCAAGAUGAUUAGGGAAUUCAACCCCUUACUCAAAUUCUUAGGAACAAGUCUAAGAGCUUUCUUCCACCAACUGGAAAAUCUGAAAUCUGUUGUGGGCACUAGAGCAGACAGAUGCAGAGACUGAAAAAUUGAGAACCAAAUCUGCCUGGAGAAGACACAGCCGACCAGAAGAUGCUGCAUAGUCUUCUCCUGGUCACAAAAAGGGCAGGCAUCCGGGUGGGGCAGGCCUCUUUUAGCUAGGCGAUCCGAUGUCCAACAAUGGUUGUUAAAUGCUAGCCAGAUAAAGAAUUUGCAGCGAAGGGGGGCCCAAUUCUUCCAAAUCCUCUUCCAAGGCGCGAAUUUGAUUGUCCCAACAAAGAAUGCAGCAUAAGCCGACUUGCUAGUGUACACUCCACAUUGGGUCAGUUUCCACCUGUACUGAUCAGGUACUUCAUGUUGCAGAACCAUGCCGUCCACUAGAUCCCAAAUCUGAAGAUACUCAAUGAGAACUUGGUCAGUUAGGCCACCUUUGAUAUCAAGGACCCAUCUCCUAUUAAUGAGAGCUUCUGCUACUGUCCUUCUUCUGACCGAUCUUUUGGGGAUUUUUUGUAUCUGGGGCUAACUUGGCAAUAGUUCUACCAUUCAGCCACCUGUCCUCCCAAAAAAGGAUUGUCUCCCCAUUAUCUACGAAUCUACUGCCAUGUUGAACAAAGCUUGAGCAUUUCGGGGAACUUGAACUUGAAAACCAGCCCAAGGCUGAGUAGGGUCAGUUUUCUGAGCCCACAGCCAACAGAUCCUCAGGGCCAAGCCCAAAGUUUCCAGAUUAUGAAUCCCCAAUCCACCAUACUCAAGUGGUCUCUGGACCCUUUCCCAAGAAACAAGGCAGUUGCCUCCAUUAGCCUGUUCUUGUCCUUUCCACAAGAAGCCCCUUCUUUUAUCCACAGCCUUGAUAACCCAUUUAGGGAGGUCCAAGACUAUCAUCAAAUAGAUAGGAGAGGCUGUCAUCACCACCCGUACCAUGACCAAGCGACCAGCCCUAUUCAUCAGAGAGGCCUUCCACCCUGGUAGGUGAUCUGCCACUUUUUAUCUAUUAAAGGCAACAACACCUCUUUCGUAGGCUUAUGGAUUGUAAGAGGCAGACCAAGGUAGGUGCAAGAGAACUCCUUGACAGCACAGGCCAACACAUCUGCAGUGAGGAGCAUCUCAGCAUCGGAACAGUGAAUGGGAGAGACUGAGCUCUUAGUGAGAUUUGUAUGCAGACCAGAAGCAUGACCAAACAAAUCAAGGAUGGUUUUGAAGACUCGCAGGUCCAUCAUAGAAGGCCGCAAGAAAACCACUGCAUCAUCCGCAUAGAAGGAAAUCUGAUGUCGGGCAUGCUGUAUAGCGAGCGGUUGCAGCAUCUGUUCUCUAGUUGCAUAUUCCACCAGAGAAUUCAGGACAUCCAUAACCAGGAUAAAUAGCAUGGGGGAGAGAGGGUCACCCUGUCGAAGCCCACGACGAUGAACAAUUGACCUACUCGGUUCACCAUUUACUAGGACUUGGGUAGAAGAGGUGGACAGGAUCAGGCAGAGAAGGUCACGCCACCGCUGUCCAAACCCCACGUCGCAGAAUCUCCAGAAGGAAGGACCAAGAAACUGAGUCGAAAGCUUUGGAGAUGUCCAACUUGAGUAAAAUAUGAGCCUCUUUUUUCCUGUGCAAGGACUUCACUAUUUGCUGGACAAGGAGAAAAUUGUCGUGAAUGUUUCUUUCCCUAACAAAAGCACUUUGAUUUGUGGCGACCAAUGAGGGCAGCUGAGGUGCCAGUCGGUUUGCCAUCACUUUUGUCAACAAUUUGACACUGUGAAUCAAGCUUAUAGGCCGGAAGUCCUUGACUUGGGUGGCAUCCAAUUUCUUGGGGAGGAGGGAAAUGAAGGAAGUAUUGAGUAAUCUGAAUUUGAACACACGUCCCUGAUGAAUGGCUGCAAAAGCCUGCAGUAGGUCCCCUUUGAUAAUGCUCCAACAAGACUUAUAAAAACGGCCUGUAAAACCAUCCGGCCCCAGGGCCUUAUCCAAUGGCAUAUCUUUGAUUAUUUCCCAGACUUCUUCCUCACUAAAAGGAGCAUCCAGGGAAGAUAGAUCAUGCUGUUGGACACCUAUUUCAGCAAGAUCAAUUGUGUAGUCUCGUUCCUCUGCUGUCCCCAGAACAUUCUCGAAAAAUUCCAGCACUGCCUCCUGUUUUUCCUCCCGUGUUACAGCUAACUGAUCACCAACUUGUAAUUUUGCAAUGAAGUUCUUCUUUCUAUAUCUUGCCUGUUGAUGGAAAAAGGAAGUGUUUGUGUCUCCUUCACGGAGAUAGAGGAUUCUUGAGCGCAGCCGGGUGAUGGUUCGCUCAAAGGAAGCCAAACCGAGGCAAUGAAGCUUAAGCUUUUUCCUCAGCCACUCUUCACUUGAAGAGAGCUCCUGAGAGUCCCUUGCAAUUUCUAGCUGGUGCAGAAUCUCUUUUGCCAUUUCUAUCUGAAGCUUGAUAUUUCCAAUCUUUCUUUGGCCCCAUUUUUGUAAACCCCUACUGAGGCGUUGCAAUUUGAGAAAAAGCCGCUCAACUGCACAGUUAGAUUGCACCGGAGCAUCCCAAACAGCCUGAAAGAAACCGGGCACCUUGGUCCAGAAGCUCUCAAAAUGAAAGCGCCAUUUUCCACUCUUUUGGAUUUUCAACCCAAGAAUGAGAGGGCAGUGGUCAGAAACUGUGGAUGCUGCACUUUGCAAAACUGAAUCAGGAAAGAUACCUUCCCAUCCCAAGCAACAAAAAGCCCGAUCCAACCUGACAAGUGUGGGAGAUGUACGCUCAUUCAACCAAGUGUAUUUGCGUCCCAAAAGGGGGAUUUCUUUGACCUCAACAUCAUCCAAAAAGCGCCAGAAUCUACCCAUCAUUGCUCUGUCAAGAUUGGCAUUCUUCUUAUCAGCUGCCUGGUAAAUCAGAUUAAAAUCUCCUGCCACUAACCAUGGCCCAUUGCACAUUCCCCGAACAUUCCGAAGCUCCUGCAGGAAUAGAACUUUCUCCUCAUCUUCCUGUGGCCCAUGCACGCCAGUAAACCACCAAUUUCAGCCUUCUUGCUCUGAAAAAAGAACCAAGACUGAAUAUGUCUCGACCUGAGUAGCAAUUGCUUGACAACUGCUACUCUUCCAAGCAAUCAGAACACCAAGAGCCAUUUCGAAUUUUCCCCAAAACCUUUGGAAUUUCCAAACCCAUGGACACGACAGAGUACAAGUUUAACAUUUGCAACAGCUCCGGAACAAUUACACUAAGAUAUGUACUAUUCUUUUUUUGUUAUGUCAAAACUGUAUCAUGUGAUUCUGAAUGACAGGCCAGACUGCUCAUCUACCGUGGUGGAUCACAGAUUCCACUAUUCCAGGCAAACCGAUCCUAGAAAAGAGUCCCAAUUUCAAAUCCACACGGGACACAUCUCAAAUCAGCUGGAGUUACCACAUGCCUUGGAUAAUGUUCAUGCACUGAAGUUGUGACAGGAAGAAAACUACUUCCAACACCUAAGGCUUGCAUACUGAAUUAUAGUUGAAGAACAGGUGCGUAACAUUUCCUCAAUUUAGUAUUUGCAUAUGGCCUGAUGGCCAUAUGUGGCUUAGAACUUCCCGGUUGUUAAGUACUUAGGCAAGGAACAAGAACAAUCAGACCUGUGAGUGUUUUCUAGUUUUUUUUUAAUUGUGUUUGAGUCAUACAUAGAUUAGUGAAGAAUCACGUUGAAUCCCUAAUCAUUAGUAGUUUUGAUUUGUUAGUUUCAUCUGUUGGAAGUAAAUAAUAGUUUUCCUUCCUUAUUUACUUCUUCCAUUCUGCAGGCUGCCCAGAACAAGUUCAAUAAUUAGGAUGCAGCCAUUAGAGACAAAGCUACAAUUAGCCCUUUGUGUACUUACACACGUGGUGUUCUUCUUCCCUCCAAGCUUCCCCUGCCGUAAGAUAGUCUCUGAAAUUUCAAUUUUGUUAUCAGUUUCCAAGUUGCUGAUACUUUGGAUAUCCCUAAGUUUCUAGUAGAAUGGAAACAGGUACUCACUUUUCAGCAUUCUUUACUGUCAUACAACAGGACUCGUAGUAAAGGCUGCUGGAAAGUGAGUAAUUGUUUCAGUUUUUCCAGGAACUUGGGAAUACUCAAACAUCAGUACAUGCCAGAAGACAAAUCUAGCAUUUGAAAAUUCUCUGGAAAUUUGUGAUCAGAAGUCAUCUGUUUUAGAUGAUGAAAUGGUCCUAGCUGAAAGACAACCAUGUACUUCAUGGUGGCCAUUCAUCUGCCAACUGCCAUGGUGGAUCUGAGGUGAAGCAGGCCCGGAAAAGUGUCGCAAGUAAACAGGUGGUGCUACUGAAUAAUGCCUGCACUGCAUGCUGCUACCGAAUCUCAGUCUAUGAGGAACACAGCGUUAGCUGCACAAUCAGCCGAUGCUACUUCUGUUCUUCACCCCAUGUAGCAGUCUGCCUCAACCCAUUGGUGCUGUGGAUAGUCACAGUAAGUUAUAUGUAUCCUUUACUUGUGAUGUGAAGAAGUUGCUCAACGAGGUUAGGAGCAAGGUACGAUCGCUAGCAAACGAGUUCUUGGCUUCUAGUUCUACUGUUCUACAUGACUAUGCUGUUAGUACCCUGAUUGCUGUUAUGAUGCCGCACAGCUCAAUUCGUUGAAUGCUCAUGUCACUAUGUCAGAGGCCUUGCCUGUUGCGUCAAUUUUAGGGCCGUUCGGUUGUUUUGCUGCUUUGCCUGGCCUUGCCUUGCCAGGCGAGCGAAUUCUUGCCGGCGCAAGCGAGCCGGAUUGGCUCUCCCGCAUUGGCAAGGUGAAACCUUGCUAGCACAGACCCCGAGAUAAACUAGCUGUUCUUCCAAACGCGCAGCCCUCGUCCCUAUCCUUGCUUAGCAAGGCUAAAUAGUACCCAGCAAUGGUUCCAAACGGCCCGAGAAUACUGUGGCAUCUUUCCAAUCUGGGCAGCGAUUGUGCAAGUCAAUUAUCGUAAUGAGAAUGACCAGUUUCCCCGGACCACAUGAAUGUCCCCAGCAUGAUGUGCGUCAGGCUUAACGCACUAUAGUCAGCAAUCUAUGUUUUCUUCGUAAAUUUGAGUAGCAAAAGUUGGGUUGAACCAUUAAGAAACAAGGAAACAAGUAGUGAUAACUUUGAACGGGAAAAAAAUUAUGGCCCAUGCAGGUCUCGAACCUGCGACCUUCGCGUUAUUAGCACGACGCUCUAACCAACUGAGCUAAUAGGCCGUUUUGAUACCUCGGAACAACAAUAAAUAUAAGUACCUUUUUAUAAUUGUAUGCACGUAGAAUCAGAAACUAUCAACGCUGCACGCCCGCUUGAGACUUGAGAGUGCUGGAUCCAACGAAUGCGAGGUCCACCGUAGCUCAGUCCUGGUCUCCUGGACCGUCUCUUGUUUGCUGCUUCGUGAUCGCCCAGCCGUGUAGGGCCAUGCCCAAAUUAUUUCCAAACCCGUCGAUGCUAAAUUUAUCCAUCCGACGCUCUCGCCGGCUCUUCUUGGCAACCCACUCCCUUCACGCCACGGUUAAACGCCCGGGCGGCGGAUACUAAUCCGGAGAGCUGGAGACUUGGAGAGGCAACAAAGCAAUCGCGCAUGUGCCGCAGAUGCCCAAAUGCGCGCUACACGGACGCGAUCGAUCGAUCCGGACCGCCCGGCCGGCGGAUCGCCUGCCCGUGCCGUGGUCCGUCCCCCCUGCUCUUGUACAUGGUCUGGUGUGUGAGGGUUUGUGUACUUGUGUCGAGUCGAUCACCGAGUAUCUCGGGUCUCUAGUUAAACGAGCAAUUUGUCAUGGACAUGCUUCGGGAUUUCAGGCCCCGGUCGCGGUCGGUACCCCCAAUUCCCCAAAUCAGAGAAACCAUGCAUGCCAUCAACUACGCGAAACAUACUGAUCUUGCGUGUGAUUUUACAAGGGAAUGUCUAUAUAUCACAUGGGUGAAAUUGAGACUCUCCUCGCUCGUUUUUUUGAGCCAUCAGAUCAUCAUCCAACGACUCACCUUCAUCUUCCACCUCCCGCCGGCUGUGCUUCUUCGCUGCCCGUCGUCCCCUCGUGCCUCUACCCGUCUAGCACGGGUGGGCAAAGGUCCUGCCAGAGCUUCGUGCGCGGCUGGAGUGCGCGGCCGCCUUCUUGCCCCUCCCGUCACCGCUUCCCGUCGUCGUCGUCCCCCCCCCCCCUCCUGCCCUAGCACCACCCAACCGCCCGCCACCACCGUCCUCGCCGGUGGCGCCCCCGCCGCCAUGCCUCACCGUCCCACGCCCGCCACCUCCGCCGGGCCGGCCUAUUGUCGCUGGCUUUCCCUCUAGGCCGCUGAUAAGCACCCACCCCGGAAACCUUGAACCCUUAAUCCUGGAAACCUCGAACCUCUAACCCUGGAAACCCCGAACCCUGACGCCCCUAAUCUCGUCGGAAUUUGGUCGGAGUCGGAGAAGGAAGGGAAAAUAGAGUGCAUAUCGGAAAAGAAAAAAUUGGAUGAGGAAGAGCUCUGUUUCACCCGGAUGAGCUACAGCCCUUCCUUUUUAGAAUGGCCACUAGGCACGGCUGGCAAGAGGGGUUUGACGCCACUUACGCGCACCGUGUGCGAUUUGCGAUCCGUGCCGGGGAGAAGCCGUGCGCGUGUGCGGCCUCGACCAUGUGCGCAGCGCCACCACUUCUCCUGCUUGGCUUGGCUGUCCUAUUGAAACAAGCCGGCCGGCCGGAUACCUCCCGCCUGCGCGCAGCCUCCCAAACGAGAGACACCGGAGGUGGUGCCGGUGCGCAUCUCCACGGAUCCCCGAUUUGUUUAACCAGCGUAGUGGUUGCGGUCGCAAGGCUACAAGCGCUACUGUACAUCCCGGAGCUUUUCGCGGAGCUGCCAGUGUGUUCCGCAUUGAGAAGAAAACCAGCUGCUGACCUCUAGUUUAUUUGUACUCGUAACAGAGCAACAACGGUCAUCGUCGAGGGAGCGGUUUGGCGUGUAGCGUGUCCACCCAUCUUGUGCUUGUGCGGAUCAAGGCCUGAACAAGAAAGAGUACUCUAAGGCGGAAUCGAUGGCGGUGAUUUGGCAGGGACAGUUUGCAUUGUUCAGAUGGCUACUACUGGUUUUAAAAUUCAAUCUGACAAAAGGGCGUGGCAGAGGGUGAGAGCGCCUGAAGUUGUGCAACGAAUUUAGUAAAGAGUGAUGCACUCACUAGUCACUAUAUACUGCAAAUGCAUACUAGUGCUUUUCUUCUUCUUUUUUUUUGAAAGAUUACUAGUGCUUUUCUGAUGGAUGAGGAUCGCGUAGAAGCAUUGGCGGUUGCUGGUGUCAGCAGCUGAGAAAUUGCCGCUGGUGCCUUGCCGUGCUCCGUGUCUCGCCAGGCCACGCAGGCAGAGACGGGACGAGGAUGCUGACGGCCAUUCGGUCUAUCCGACUAGCACAAUACGUCAAUACUACGCCAGUGUAGUUUCUAGAGUUUCUACGACUGCAAUGGCAUUUUCCAUGGACGCUUUCAGUCUCGGUGCCGUUUUAUUCAACUAUGACGGCAUCGCUAACAGAAUUUCAUGUCAUUUCAGAUUCCUCAGUCUGCCUGCCAGGCCAUUUACGAUCGAUUUUCACCGGACCGGCCCCUGCCGCGAUUUUACAGUAACCCCCGCUAUUCUUACCAAUUUACAGUAGCUGCCAUGUCCUAGCUAGCUAGCUGCUGCAGCUGAUAUUGCUCUCCUCGCUGCCGCUGCUGCCGUCCGCGUUGCUGUCACUGUGGUUGUUCUCCUCCGCCCGCCACGCGGACGCCGAGAAGAGCGGCCGCCCGUGCCACCCCAGCGUCAGGCACCCGUCGGCCUCCUCCACGCAGUGGCCCUCCCCGGAGAAGAGCCCCACCAGCAUCCUCGCCUGCCGCAGUGCGUUGGCCCCCAGCGGCACGCCGGCCAGGCCCGCGCGCCCCAGCCUGUCCCGCCACCGCCGCAGCGGCUCGUGCCGCUCCCUGCGCUCCGCGCCCUCGCCGCACACGAUGUCGCAUAUCUCGCGCUCCAGGUACGCCUCGGCCGCCGCGUCGCCCGCGCCGCCGCUCGCCGCGUCCAGGGAGUCGAACACCGCCGAGUAGUAGAAGAGCGCCUCCGUGAACCGGUCCAGGAACCCCGGCUUAUUGUGGUCCGCCUCCUGCUCCACCACCGUGAACACCCUGGGGCGCAUGGACGACACGCAGUCGAGGACGGCGUCGAUGGGCGCCCGGGCGUCGUCGGCCGCCGCGGACGGGUCGGCGACGAGGCGGUGGAGCUGGAGCACGGAGUUGACGGCGACGGCCUCGCCCUGCGACACCUGCAGCAUCCACGGGCGGAUCUCGUCGAGGCGGUUGGCGGCCACGCCGCGGAAGGAGAAGUGGACGCGCACGGAGCGCGCCAGGUCGGCGAGGCGGACGCCGACGUCGCGGAGGUCGUCGCGGCCGGGCGGGGAGGGCGGGCCAAUGCCGGUGAGGCGGAGGAACGGCGGCCCGCCGGGGCGGAGCGCCAGGGCCUGGAUCAGCGCGGGCCACUGGAGGCCCUGCAUGAGGUUGAAGUCGAUGAUGUGGACGUGCUUGCAGCCCUGGACGGCCUCCAGGAUGGCCUGGUUGGCCGUGAAGUGCGCGAACUUGAGGUAGGGCCCCGCCUCGUAGAAGUGGUGGUAGAGGAAGGCGUGGUCGGCGUCGGCGUCGGCGGCGGCGGGCUGGGGCGGAGGUGGCGACGGCGUGGGAGGGAACAGCCUCCGGGACAGCGCGGCGGUGAAGUGGACGGCGACGCGGCCGAUGCCGGAGCCCGGCGAGACGGCGGCGAGAGCGGCGUGCGCGUCGGCCAGGUGCGCGGACGCGCCCGCGUGGUCCCCGGCCUCGACGGCGCCGGCGCAGCUCAUGAGGAGGUGCACCAGGCGGAUGCCCGCGGCCUCCUCCUCCUCCCGCCGCAUCGCCGCCAGCGCCGCGGCGAAAUCGGGCAGCACCGCGGGCAUCGCCGCGUGCAUGUCCGCCGCCGCGUCCGCGUAGUACGCCACCCCGGCGGCGUCGGGCACCACGGUGGGCAGCGGCGGCAGGGAGACGUCGAGCCCCGGCUCCGCGGGCCACUGGAAGGGGAACGCGCCGCCCAUGGCCAUGGGUCGGUGGUGGGGGAGGCGGCUCGGUGGCGUGGGCGGUGACGCGGUCAGUAGAGUGACGGCGUCGCGCUUGGCGGGCGGUGAGUGAUGUGGAGGGGACUGAGGAGACGGGCGGGCGGGUCGCGGGGGGUUAAGGUGCGGGCAGGUGACGUCGGAAAGGCACGGGGAGGUCGGUUACACGUGGAGAGGCGGGCACGAGCACGGGGCGGGCGGGGACACGUAGGCCUCGGGAAGGAUUCUGAGGCCGGCGAGCGGACCGAGGCGCCGUGGGGGCGGCCUGCUCCUUCUGUCAAUUCCUGUUUCCUGAUCUUGUCUGCGGGGAUCUCAUCUCGGAGUGUGCAAUCUUGUAACCGCACCCAAAUUUUACUCGGAGUACUGUAUGAAGGCAGUAAGACUAGAGAGACUACCGCGCAACCCGUAGGAAGUUUCCUCACUGUCGCUGUACAAACCUUCCUCUCACGUCUUCAACUCGAGAAAGUAAAACAUAAGUUCCACGCACGCGUCGGAUCUUCGCACAGGAAAAUGCUUCGCACACGAUCUAUCAGUAGACCGUAGAGUUGAACACAUAAAUUUUAACGGCUCGUAUUUGUAUAAGCUUUGUGCUUUUAUGAUGGUAUAAAUAUAUAGUAAGGGAAAUUCAAGUAUUUUAUAACCCGCCAACACAUGAAUUCUUUCAUGUACGAGUACCUUGUUAAGCUAGUUUAUUUAUAGAGUGCUAGUUUAUUUGUAGAGUCAAUUUCACCUUAGAUUCUUAAACUAUUCCUGAGAUCUCAUCUAGGUUCAUGGUCUUUUAAAAUGGCCAUCUAGAUCCACAUUCUAAUAAAGAGUGAUUAUGGAGGUCCACAAAUACCCACAUAAGCGUGUUUUGCCUAUGUGGUAAUGUCAACGUGUCAUUUUUUAGAAAAUAUAUGGUAACAAAACUAGGGUAGUACAACAACGAAUAACACAUUUUUCCUCGCACAACAUAGAUUUUCAAAAUUGGAUGAUGAAAAAUCAAGUGUUGAAAGACAAUAAGGUCUUGUUUGUUUGAACUUCUUGGCAGCUUCUCAGUGUGAAAGAAUUAGAAUCUUAAACAAAACAAUGAAAUUCUCGUGCAGCUUUCAAAAAGUCAGAAGCCUAGAAAAGGCUGAGUUUUAUAUGAAAAAGUUUGGUUUUUUAGUUUUUCGUAGCAUUUUGAGUCCAGAAAACUAAACAUAUCUUCUAAAAGCUAUUGCAGGCUUUUCAUAACAAAAAACCAGCAGUAGCUUUUCAAAAAGCUUCAAAAAGCUCCAAAAGUUGCACCUCAAACAAACAGGUCCUAAAACACUGGAUAAAUCUAACGAGUGAAAUUGCAGGUUAGUUUUUAAACUCUAAGCCACUUAUGCUUUUUGGAGUUGUGCCAAACAAACCUGGAACCCUACAUUUUAAUUUGCCUCAACUAUUGGAUAACUCUAACGAGUGAAAUUCUGUUCAUAACAUUUUUAAUGGAAACUUUAUUAGUACUCGCACCAAUGUUGGUUUGCUUCUAGCAACAUUAAACUCUCUACUCUGGCGAAUGAUAAAAGAUACAUGUAGAAAUACAAUUCGGCUAAUGGCUGCUUAAGACAAUAUUUCUCAUGAUAUAUGCUUAAGUUUUACAUUUAUGCACAACAAACCCCCAUUUUUUCGAAGGCAUUGCCAAAGUAGUUAUUUGUAUUACUUUCAUAUAAUUGUAGAUUCAAAUAAUUUAGCUAAGCAUGUUGUUUUCACAUGUAUUUUGUUCUCUAUAGUUUAUCUAGAUAGAUAUGUGAAUCGCAAAGUUAUGUUGGGUAUGAACCCAGUGGUUGGUGGCUUGAUCCAUUCAAAUGUCGGUGACUAUUCAUGAUGGGCAAACUAGCUAGACUUAUAUAUGCUUUAUUCGUAAAGUAGAGAUGCAUAGGGCUUCCUCCUAUCACCCCUAUAUCUUGCCUCCUCGUUUUAGAUGAUAAAGUACAAAUUUUGUUAAAUGCUUUGAGUUUACGAGAUAUUUGAAAGCAAUUCUACUCACUAUAAGUAAUAUGUUCAUUUCUCUUAAUAUUUGCUUGUUUUUUUCCAAAAAAAGAAGUUAAAUGUUCAUUUUCUCCAUAAGCGUUAUCUUUUCUUGGCGGAGAGUUGGAGUUCGUUUCUAGGGAGUAGCUAGCUAGGUGAAUAAAUUUUGUUUUGGAAGAUGCUAGGUGAACAACAGAUGAACUCCAGUUAGGUCACCGGCUAGCAGAGGAGCAUGAGAGACAGCAGCGGCUUGCUCCCUCACCCCUCGCUCUCCCACUCCUGCUCCACGCCUGCUGCUCACCAUGAUUGAUGGUAAUUCUCCCCCUUAUCCUUCCAAUGGAUCUGCCAUCACUGGGUUUUCAACCUGGCAGAGUCUUCAGUGAAAAAAUUGGCAAGCGGUACGGUUUUUCGGUUAACUCUAUUGGGAAACUAGCAAGUUUGGACUUUCUCUUGCUAGUAUCUUUAAGUUGAAAUAAAUUCAGGCUCACUGAGGAAUCUAUUGGAAUCUACCUUCAAUCUGUUAUAGGAGGCUUUGCUAACUGUUUUUUAGUGCAUCAACUGGAUCAACAGGUUUUCAGAUUUGCUGUCUCUUGCAAACAAGUUGGUUUUGUUGUUUUGGGGCUCAACUCUUUUUCUUCGGUGGAUUUCAAGUUGGCUUUUCUUCUCUGCAAUGAUGCUAGCCUUGCGAAAGCUUUAGCAUUCUCCAAGUCUGAUUCAGGGCCCUCUUUCACCUAGGAAGAAGUUCAUUCGAAGAAAGGCAAACUCUCUUUUGCGGAUGUAGCCAGAGCUCCCCCUCCACCUCUCUCGGGAGCAAAUGCAGUUUUCCUGGGAGCUAAUGUUGCUUGGAGGAUCAAGAAUCAUUUGCAACGUUCAAGUUCAUAUCAUAUUGGCUCAUUUCAUUCUCAGUCGAGGCCUUCUGUUUUUCAGAGAAUUUCUUUCCCUCGCAAAUCGGUUUUUCAGCGUCUGGAAUUUGGAAAUUCACGGGAUAAUUUUCAAACUUCAAAAGGUCAACGGGCUGCAUUGGUUCAUGGGUCAAAAAGCCUAGCUUUCACGAGGCCCGGUACUGUUGCAGGGUUUCCCAUUUACCGUCUAAGGUGUUUAUCUCCCAACCAUUCAAGGAACGAUUGUCGAAGCUUGAUUAAGUGCUGGCACUGCAAACAACUAGGUCACGUCCUAAACUCUUGCUCACUUUUUUCACGAUCUCCAAAGGUUGAAGCAAUUAAGUGGUUGCUCAAGGAGCUGUAAAUUUUUUCCCGCUCUCUCGGUUGGCCUCCCAACGCUGGGAGCUCAUGGUUUAGGAACCCCAGGCUAUUGACUCAUGGGCCUAGCACAAUUGGGCCUCCGUGUUUUGCCUCCCUUGUUGAGUUUGGCUACUCUGUACUUAGCAUUCCAAGGGACAUUGCCCCUUCGUCUUCCUCGGCUCCCCCUCCUUCAUCCACACCAAACCCCAGUGAGGAACCUAAGCAAGAAGACGGUGGAGGUGAUCCUGCACCCUCACCCUCGACGAUGGCCUUCCUCAACAUCGACCCCACACCUAUGCUCCUCCCGGGUUUCAACAAAGUCUUGGUGGAAGGCAGAGAGAAGUACAUUAGGGUAGUCACUCCAAGGGCGCGAUAGGGCAACAAUGAUCUCGCAAUCGUCACCGUCUCCAAUCUGCCUCCCGGUGAGAUACCCUUUGCUGACCUCCGCAACAUCAUCCUAUAGCUCUUGGUAGAUGAGUAUGGUUUAGCAGUUAAGGAAGUUCAUAGAUGCCUCUUUGGUAGAGGUCAAGCUAUGUUCAUUUGAAUCGUGUUUCUGAUAGAGAUAUGUUGGUCCAUCAUAGUCCCCAUCAACUCCAUGGAAUGAACCUAGAUUUCAUCAAUCAUAAUAGAGGGGCAAAUGCUUGAAGGGUUGUUUUCAAUACAGAGUGUUGGCUCAUGCUUAUUGGUUACCCUCCAAAUGAUCAUUCUGUUGAGGACAUUUCAGAUGCAAUCAAAUCUUUUGGCAGACUAAUUGUAUGACAGAAAGAUAAUGUCCUGGCAAGAAUCAUUAUCAAAGCUCGCGUGACUGAUCUAGUGGAUGUACCUCACUACAUUAUUAUGUCAGAAGGUGAUAAUUCUGAGGGGGGCAUCCUUAACUGUCCAAUGUGAGAUUAUUCAUCAGAAUAUGUUAGGAGGCCUGCUGCAAGAUGAAGACAUUCCACCUGGUGGUCUUGAUGAUAACUUUGUCUUCCUUGGUUUUGGAGUUAACCAAGUGGAUCAGCAGUUUGAUCAAGAUCCAGCUUCCCUCAGCCACAGGCCUUGGAAAAUAAGGGCAAUGCUGACCAGCUCUUACCUAAUCUAAAUCAGAAUCCAGAUGAUCAUGUUCAAAAAGAGGACCAAGCCUAGGAAGUGGAUAAUGAUCAAGAAGAGGACAUUCAUAAACCUCCUGAAACCAUGAAACUAGAAGUGCAGCAACAAGUUGAGCUGGACCUGCAGCUCAGUCUGCCAGCUCCCCUAGGUUCCUCCUCCAACUCAACCAUUGCAUCCUCAGACACUUCUCCUAAGACAAAUGAGGAAAUCCAAGCUACAGUCCAAUCACAGCAGCAGGUGAAUGGACUUAAUAACCAUAAAGAUGAACAAGCAGAAGAGCAAUUGAAUGCUGAGGUGGUGUUUGCUUUACCUGCUAUUCCUCAAGGACAGGUUGGUCAUAGCAUUGUUGAACCAGUUAACAUCAUGCCCCAGGAAGGUGAAGGGGAUCACAUGGACAUUGAUCAAAAUCAUCACGAUCGCCUCCAAGAGUUGGCUGCUCCAAUCCUUCCAGUUCACAAUCAGCAAAAUCAAAUUCAAGAGUUGGCUGCCCCAGGACAUGGCAAUGAUCCAGUUAUUAAUUUGAACUUGAACAUCAACAUGGCCCUCACCAGCUUUGACAACUUCCAGUCCAUGGAUCCAAAGCCCUUUGAUUUUUUUGGAUCAAUGAUGCCAGCAAUCCAAAGCCUGAUCUCUAUAGGCUUUGGGCCAAACACUUUUCUCCAGUGGGCUGCCCUGAGCAUGUGGUCCAGAUCCCAAGGAUUGGGCCUCUUUCUUUACUGUCAUGCCUUUAUCACCAAACCAGUUUGAAUGGGCUAAGAAGUUCCUAUCUUCUCAGGCUUAGAGAGUCAUGUUAAAAUGCACUGAUUUGUCAGCAAUGAUGUCAUUUUACCCUGGCAGCUGAUUGCCCUGAAAAUGCUGAAGUUAAAUGCUCUCCCCCUAAGGAGUUCAUGGAUAGCUCAUCUGUCAAUGAAUCAUUUGAUACCCCCCUUUUGGAUGAGGAAUCUCUCAAGAUGAAUGCUAACUCUGAUGAAACACCACCUACCAGUACAAGGAAAUCUCGUAGGUCCACUCCUGUGGUGGAAACUGAAACAAGAAGGGGUCUAAGAAUUAGAGACAACAACAAUGACUUUAAGCAUGAUAGUUGUACUAGCAGAAACUGUAUGGUCUGUGCUACGCAACCCCCAGCCAUUCCAGCUGCAACUCUUAAGAACAUUGGUGAAUCUGUGUGCAAAAUAACACCUGGUGUGUUAUCAGCUGAUACCAUACUCAAUAAGAACAAGACCAAGAAACCAGUUGGAGACCAGAAGACUUCAAAGAAGGUGAUCUCCUCUAAGAAGGAAAAGGGCAAGAGCAAGCAAGAAGAUAAUGAUCCCAAUGAAGCAAACAAGAAAGGCAAGAAGUAAUCGGUCACUAUGUGUCCUAGGUGUGUGUAGUUUCAUAGUUCUGGGGACCCAUCUCCCUCUUUUGUUGAUCUAUAUGGAUUCUGGUGGUUUGUGCACCUUAAGGGUGACUUUUAAAACUCUAGUGAACUGGUUUAUCGGUAUGAUGGGAUUUCUUUUCUGUUUGGUCUGGUUCCUCAAAGCCUCUUUGUUGUGAUGUUUUAUUUGCAUUUAGUUGUGUGCUGUGCACCCAGCUUUUUUCCUCGCUUCCCAUGUCUCAUAAAUGAAUCAGAAUCAAAAUAGAAGAACCUGAACAGUUCUAUACUGGAACAUAAGGGGAAUCAAUUUAGAAGGCAAGUGGGAUACCAUUAGAAGCAAAAUUAUUGAAUAAAACAUGAUGUUGUAUGUUUACAGGAAACUAAAAAAGGAAUUCUUUAAUGCUCAGUUCAUUAAAAAAUUUUGUCCACACAGCUUUGACUCUUUUCAAUCUGUACCCUAUGUUGGAGCUUCAGGAGGAAGCAUCAUUCUAUGGAAUAAUCUGAAAUUUAGUAGUCAACUCACUUUUCAAAACAAUUAUGCUCAGUCAGUGGAAUUUCAGUGUCAACUAUCUGGGAAAAAUUGGAUCCUAACCAAUAUAUAUGCUCCUUGUACUCCUGAAGGGAAGCUGGUUUUCCUAGAUUGGUUUAAACAAAUUGAAAUGCCUGAGGAUUUCACAUGGCUUAUCGUUUGUGACUUCAACCUAAUUAGAUCUCCAAGUAAUAGAAAUAAACCGGGUGGGAAUAUUCAAGAAAUGCUGAAAUUCAAUGAAGCAAUUAGCAGACUGAGACGGGUGGAAAUACCUCUUAAAGGCUAUAAGUAUACAUGGACAAAUAAACAACAGAACCCAUGAGAGAACUUGAAAGGUUAGGAAUAGAGAUAAAAUCCCAUGAGCCAAAAAUGUCACUUCAAGCAAUUCAAAUUAAGCCAACCUUGCAAGAGGAAAUCUUAGACAAACAAUUAGCUGACACAACUAUGCAAACUCUAAAGAAAAAUAUAGUAGAAGGGAAAGUUAGUGAAUUCAGAAUUGAUCAACAGGGUCUAAUACGGUUCCAAAAUAGGUGUGUCUCCCAAAUUAUGCUACACUCAAAAAUAAAAUUUUACAAGAAGCCCAUUCCUCCCUUUACACAAUCCACCCUGGGAGCACAAAGUCUGCUCAUUUCCUACCGGUUAAAAGAACAUAUUCCUUAAAAAAAUAUGCCAAGCUUUAUAUCCAACAAAUAGUAUCUUUGCAUGGGGCCCAAUAAAAAUUGAAUCUGAUAGAGAUCCUCGUUUUGUUUCCGUUUUUUUGAGAAGCUUACUUAAGUCACUUGGAACAAAUCUAGAGUUUAGUACAACAUAUCAUCCCCAAACCGAUGGUCAAACGGAAAGGGUCAACUAAAUCAUAGAGGAUAUGCUUAGAGCUUGUGUUCUUGAAUUCAAGGGAGCAUGGGAUGAAUAUUUACCUCUAGCAAAAUUUACUUAUAAUAACAACUACCAAGCUAGUAUUCAAAUGGCACCGUAUGAAUCUCUGUAUGGGAGAAGAUGUCGAUCACCUAUUUGUUGGGAUGAAGUUGGAGAAAGGAAAAUGUUAGGACCUGAAAUAAUACAAGAGUCUGAAGACAAAGUAAAAGUCAUCAGAGAACGAUUGAGGAUAGUCCAAAGUAGAUAAAAGAGCUAUGCCGAUAAUAAAAUAAGGAAGCUUGAGUUUGAUAUAGGAGGACUAGUAUGUCUAAAAGUGCCACCAAUGAAAGGAGUAAAUAAGAAACUAAGUUCAAGAUAUAUAGGACCAUUUUCAAUUAUUGAGAAAAUUGGAGAAGUGGCAUAUAGACUAGAACUACCAGAUUCACUUGCAAGAAUUCAUAGUGUGUUCCAUGUGUCAAUGCUCCAAAAAUACCUUCGUGAACUAGAAGAAUAUAUUGAAAUACCAAGAGAACAACUACAAGAAGAUUUAACCUAUGAAGAGUAGCCAACACAUAUCCUUGAUACAAAGGAGAGAGAAACAAGACGUAAGACCAGUCGAUUCUUCAAGAUUCAGUGGAGCAAUCACUCAAAAGAUGAGACCACAUGGGAACAAGAAGAGGAUAUAAGGAAAACCUAUCCAUACCUAUUCCAAAUAUGAAGGUAUAAAUUUCGAGGAAUAAAUUUAUUAAGGAGGAAAGACUGUAAUAAUCUAAAAAAUGUAAAUACAUAUGGACCAUUGUGUAAUGUUUAGAUAUUAGACUGCAGUUUUGCUCAAGCCUGCAACUGCAAAAUCGCAAAACCAAGUCCAGAACUGUGUUGAAUAGUAUAUACGAUGUUUGUGCUGUAGCAAUAAAAUAAAUUAAGGGAAAGAAAGGAGAUAAGAAGGAGAUGUAGCUUGCAGUAGUAAAAAAUAAUAAUAAAAGAAGGUCCUGGACACUAUAAGCUUCCUUAGCUCCCACGUAUCCCAGCAGAUAGAGAUUAGAAAACUCAACCAUGGUAGAAAUUAACCCAACCAUGAUCAAGUCUUGCAGUAUAUAUACAGCCCUCUCCUCCACUCACAGUCUGCACAAAAAAUUCUCAAAAACCAAAGCACAAUAGGGUUGGGAGAGAUCAAGGGAAAUCUGAGGUUUGGAAGUAAUCUUGUUGCUAAAGUAUGCACCUUUAACAGAUUUACUUUCUUACUGCUCUUGAUUUCUGUUCUUUUCUCCCUGUUCCUGCUAGUUCUCUUAAGUCCCAUACAUGUCCAGUACUAGUGCUUGUUUGUGUAUAGCCUUUGCCUUGCUUCCCGUAACAAGCUGAGUUAGUUAAACUACAUGUUCCCAGUCAUGCUUGUAGUAUUUUAAUAUAUAUAGUCAAUCACACACAAGGGCACACCGUACUUGGCAACUAAAUUAACUAAACAUUGUACUUACAUGUUCACUGAUAAAUGAUGUUAGUUGAUGAACCAUGGUCCUGAUGCCAGCAUCAUUGCUUCCGGCAAGAACUUAGUACUCUGGAUGAAUGCAUGAGUUCAGAGCUCUGUAAUUAGAAUAAAAUAACCGAAGAAAACAUGUUUGACCUUACUAAAAUCUGAUGACUAUUUUACAUACAAAAGAACAUCUAUAUAGAUUGUCACACUUGAUGUUGCUUGAACUGAACUGAUGAAUACAUGCACAUGGUAUUGAUCUAAAUAUUACCCAGUUUGUAGUAUUGAUGAAUAUGUGCCCACUUGAUGAAAUGUCAACAUUUAAUAAUUACUCUCACUAAUUAAGUUGAAUGCUAAAGACUGUAAUAAUUUAAUUGAAACUCAUCCAAUAUGUUAGGUCCUGAUUGCAAGGAGGACAAGGAAGAACACAGUGAACCAAUCAAGGCAAGCUGCGCAUAUCAGAACCUAUUAAAUCAUGACAUAUGUAACUAAAUAUGAGAUGAUAAUUAAAAACUGAACUCUAGUCAUCAUAAUUUGGGAAAUGAAUUGUUUAUUACUUAGCCUGGGACAACCAAUCCUUAAAACUGUGAUAUGCAGCAAGGCUGGUAUCUGGGUGAGAUAGGCAUCCUCACUCAAGUAGAGGAUAUGAUGUAGGUUUCUCAAAGAUGGGGUAAUACUAUAAGGUGGAAAUUAUGGUGGCUUAAUGAAUACUUCUCCGUAGAGAAAUACUAAAGACUAUGAACUAUUAUUGUCCCUGUUUAUCUUUUAAUGCCAACUCUCCUGUGGUAAGUAGGAACAUAUGUUCAGAACUUAACUUGCUGAGUAUGGUAACAUGCUCAUUUGCUUGCUUGUGUUUUACUGAUAUGCGUAGAAAUGAAAGAAGAGGAAGGUGUGGUCGGGAUAGGGAGUGAUGACUAUGAACAACAGUAGCUGUAGUUUAGUUUCUAUCACAAUAAAAUUGGUGAUUAGUACACCAAUGCAACUCUUGUAUGCUUGGAAUCAUGAAUAAAGAAUGAAUGUCACUUUAGUUAAGAUGAAACUACUAUUCCAUAUUGCCUUGUACCCUUAUGAACUGCAAGUGUUUACAAGUGUACGGCGGCUGCCAUCUCCAAGUUUAUGUUUAGGGUGUGACAACUAUCAGAGAUGAAUUUGGCCAGGAACAUAGAGGACAUGAGGAAAAGGUAAAUCUCUUGUGAAAUGCCUACAAAGACACGAUGGGAACUACUGAAUUUACACAUAUGUACUUUGAUUUGGAUGAUCUGCUUGUCCCAAAUCAAUGAGUUAAACUAGUUGGAGGAACCCUUCACUAAGGAAGAAAUUGACAAAAUUAUUGCUGAUCUCCCAAACAAUAAGUCACUUGGGCCGGAUGGCUUUAAUCGGGAAUUUUUGAAAAAAAAACGCUGGCCUCUAAUCUCACAAGAAUUUUAUGAUCUUUAUGAACAAUUUUUUGAUAGAAAUAUAUGUGUGAGAAGUAUUAAUAACUCAUACAUGACAUUGAUACCUAAGAAGGAUCGCCCUUUAUUUGUUGGGAUUUUAGGCCAAUUUUGCUCCUAAAUUCAUCCAUCAAGCUAAUCACCAAAAUCUUAGCAGACAGGCUGCAACAAUUGAUUCUCAGAUUAAUCCACCAAAAUUAAUAUGGAUUAAUUAAAAGCAGAUCCAUCCAAGACUGCUAGUAUGGCCUUUGAAUAUCUACACAUUUGCAAGGCUUCCAAGAAGGAGAUAGUGAUCCUAAAACUUGAUUUUUGAAAAAGUCUUUGAUAAAAUUGAGCAUCAAGCCAUUAUGGAAAUUCUCAAAUACAAAGGAUUUGGUGGUUGAUGGAUUGGUUGGAUUAAAGACAUAUUGAGCUCAAGAACCUUCUUCAUUAUUCUGAAUGGUGUACCAGGGAAAGUAUUUCACUGCAUAAAGGGUGUCCGACAAGGAGAUCCCCUCUCACCAUUACUCUUUGUCCUUGCUGCAAAUUUGUUACAAUCCAUAGUUAACAGAGCCAAAGACCAAGGUUUGCUCACAUUGCCUAUCCCUAAAAAGGCUGGUGAUGAUUUUCCAAUUAUUCAGUAUGUUGAUGAUACUCUACUAGUUAUGGAAGCCUGUCCUCAGCAGUUGGCAACCCUUAAAGAAUUAUUAAACUCCUUUGCUAAUUCUACUAGGUUAAGGGUUAACUACAGCAAGUCAGUCAUGGUACCACUGAACAUCUCUGAAGAAAAAUUUGAAAGCCUAUCGGUCGCAUUUAAUUGUCUCAAAGGCAACCUCCCAUUCACAUAACUUCGUCUUCCUCUAGGGACUACAAAGCUAGGCAUAGAAGAAUUCCUACCUCUGAUUCAGCGAAUUGAAAAAAAGGCUUACAUGCACCUCGACAUUCCUCACCCAAGGAGGAAAAUUGGAAAUGGUCAAUUCAGUGCUUUCAUCAUAUGUAGCUUUCUACAUUUCAACCAUGAGGCUACACAAAGGAGUCAUCAAGUAGAUAGAUAAAUACAGGAAACAUUGCUUAUGGAGUGGGGCGGAUCUAAAUUCAAAGAAGCCGGCCAAAGCUGCUUGGCCUAUGGUCUAUGUACCAAAGAAGGAAGGAAGACUAGGAGUCAUAAAACUCUCAGUUCACAAUGAUGCUCUUCUACUCAAGUUCUUACACAAAUUUUUCAACAGGGCCGAUAUCCCUUGGGUUUACUUAUUAUGAGGAAAUUACUAUUCCAAUUGUAAACUGCCUGGAUAAUUCAAAAAGGGAUCCUUCUGGUGGAAAGACAUUAUCAAGCUCCUUGACUCCUUCAAAGGACUUGCUUCUGUUGUUAUUGCAGAUGGCUCCACUGUCUUCUUCUGGACUGACAUCUGGAAUAACAUUGUACCCUUAAUGGCAUUCCUAGAACUUUUCUCUUUUGCCAAGAACAAGUUCAUCUCAUACAAGACUAUUGCAAAUCGGCCAAACCUUAUUCGGAACUUUCACUUACCUCUCUCAAUUCAGGCGCAUCAACAAUUUCAUGAACUGGAGGAGAUAUUACUAAGUAAUUUGCCAUCGACUGAUAAAAAUCAGUGGCAAUACAUAUGGGGUAAUCAUAACUUCUCAGCAUCAAAGGCAUAUAAAGCUCUCAUUGGACACGGUUCAUCCAACCUUCCUAUGGAUAUGGAGAUCAAAAUGCCAAAUGAAGCAUAAGGUGUUCUUCUGGCUAUUUCUCAAGGAUUGACUCAGUAGAGACCUAUUAAGAAGGAAAAACAUGGCUCUAGAUUCGUAUGUGUGUGGACUCUGCAUCCUCCAAAGAUUGCAAACUGUUACCCACCUCUUCCCAAGGUGCAAUUUUAUCAUCUUGAUAUCGUGGUGCAUCUGGACGACUAGGAAUGAUUGGUUGUUCAACAAUGAAGAUCACUCGGUUGAUUCCUGUAGAAGGAAAUACGAAUUCUCUCUUGUUAUGCUAAGAGUAAGCCUAGUUCUGAACCUGCCAUGUCAGCUUGGAUCGAUAGUCUGUAAUUUUCCUUUGGCUAUUUCCCUUUUUUUUCAUGUUUACUUAAUUUUUAGUCUGUAACUUUAAAAGUAGUAGGGGCUUGCCCCUCCUGUUCCUUAAAAAAAAUCAAGAAUUAACUUAUGUCGCGAGUAAGGAGUAAUACUGAAAACCCUAAAACCAAUACACAUGGGUUCUUUUUUCCCCCUUUUUUGUGCGCUCACUUAUCAGAAUUUUGGUCAUACGGGUCCAGGGGCACGUCAGGGCGUCGAGGUCGUUAGCCUCGGAUGCAGCCGUGGUCCUAAAAGGGCAGAACAGAAAUGAGGGGGCUGGACCCAUGGAUCAGGUGGUCCGGAAUGCGUCGUUGCACGGGGGUACCCUCCUGUAACAAGAAUUUGCCGAUAGGCGAACGCCACCCGUACUUAACCUCCUGCAAAUGCUUGCAUUAUCCUCAAUAAGGAAUUAAGGAUCCCUUGCAGCACUGCCGAAAGCACAAGCUCACCUAAUCAAGCUUAUGUAGGUUUUGUCAGUUUGGCACCCAUGGAACACGCCGUCCGUACCCCAGCAGGAGCACAUGGCACCAACCAAAAUGAUUUCAACAACCGUUUCCACAUCUGAAAAUCCGGCCACGGGAGAGACCUCUGAAACUGGCAAGACUUUACGCAAAGCUUCCCGUCGAGGACGGCUCCGAAACUGUGAAAUGUUUCCGUCUGCGAGCUGGAUCUCGAGCGAUGGGGAGGAGGAACGUGCGCUCUGAAUAUUUUUUGCACCAGGCAGGUGACGCCCCGAUCGAUCGAACGGGGGCGGGUCGCCCUCGCCCUCUUUCUUUCUCUUCCGGAAAACGAGGCCCGCUCGAUGGGGUGGCGUAUGGCAAGCGAGCAGGCUGGAAGAUGCUCCCGUCUGCGUCGAGGCGGCGAUGGUCCCCGAGACCUUUGCGUUCUGUGCUGCACGGCCGGAGCGGUCCUCGUUUGUUGGUUCAGUCGGUUGCGGCUCCCUUUCUGCUGUGAGAAACUUUUAGUUUUUUCUUUCAACAAUUGUAUUGCCUGAGAGGGUAACAGACGGUUUGGUUUGUAAAAGUUUCAGGGAAGAGCAGGGGUGUGUUAGAUGUGCUAAGUCUAUCAACUUGCCGUAAAAUCGUGGUGGCGCUUCCAACCUGUCCGUGAGCGGUCGCCAUCGGUUUUGACAAAGCGGCAACCUGCUGACUGUGAUGAGAUGGAGAGGCGCUAGAAAUGAAGAGAAACCUCCUUCUAUACUGAGAGGAUAGCUGCAAGCUGCUAAUUGUCUCUCUGAAAUGUAUGAAUUAGAAAGCACCAUCACCUGCUAAAGAUUUGAAAACGCGGUUGCGUUUAUAUAUAUGAUUUAUACGAAAGAGCGCUCAUCACGUGCGUGUGCGCGAGAGGAUGAGGUUAAUUAUUUGAGCUGUGUUUGCUUUCCUGUGUAUGUGGGAGGAAUGCAUGAUAAGGAUUUCGUGAGUUCACUCUCAUGUUCCAAACAUAUAUUUUGUACAGAAAAAGAAAAUCAACGAUUAGGAAAUUUGAACUCUCCAAAACUUUUCAGCGAAUGUUGUGCAUAAAGGUGGCCCUUAGGGUGUAUUGUGUGCAAUAUUAACAUCGCAAGAUGGAUUGCGUCAUUUGUAUCAUGCGUUAAUCGACAUUGUAACACUAAUGGCAUACGGUUGCACAUUAUAGCUACGAUGAAACAUGGAGUGCAGGAUGAAACAGAUCAGCUCAAAUACAUUGUGCAUGAGUCGAUGACGAUACAAAAGUUGAAAAACUCAACUCCAAGACGCAGAGCUAUGCAGGGUCGACGGGUUUCAGUCGUGUCCACGAUAAUCAGAUAUUCAGACAGUGGCAAUACGGAUUAUCAGAUAUUCAGACAGAGGCAACACGGAUUGUUGGUUCAACGUCCUAAAUCAGACAGAGCUUAUCGGUCUGUGUGCUGUCCAUUUCCCUGUGGUACUAGUACUGCUACUGUACAACAUCACCAGAAAAAAAUACCUACUGGCAGCUGCCAGCGGCGAGCACGAGUCACCGAUGAGUAAACGAGGCAGCGAGCGAGUGAAAGCAUGACCAGACAAAAGCAGCAUCGGCGGCGGUGCUAAUCCGAAUAUUAGCAGUAAGUAUCACUCAACCUGCUGUUACUGUGAGAAAAGCGCGUGUCCUAUCGGAGUAGUAACAUCAGAUUAGGUGCCGAGUUACCAUCACGGCGCACGACGCCAUUGGUGUGGUCAUCCAUCGAUCCGUCCAUGCUUUAAUAAUGAUACGAACAGUUCUAGCUUAAGCUAGGGAUUUUUUUCAAGAGAUGUGACCUUCAGUCGUCAGAAGAUUGGUCUCUGACUCUCUGGUUAAGUCAUUCACCCCCCUUAUUCAGGCCUUUUCUUUUGCAACUAACGAAAGUGAAGUAACUUACGGGGCGUUUUCUUCUCGUGUCUUAUUUUUAGCACGUGUCACAUCGAAUGUUUAGAUACUAAUUAGGAGUAGUAAACGUAGACUAUUUACAAAACCAAUUACAUAAGUGGAAUCUAAACGGCGAGACGAAUCUAUUAAGCCUAAUUAAUCCAUCAUUAGCAAAUAUUUACUGUAGCAACACAUUGUCAAAUCAUGGACUAAUUAGGCUUAAUAGAUUCGUCUCGCCGUUUAGAUUCGUCUUAUGUAAUGGGUUUUGUAAAUAGUCUACGUUUAAUACUCCUAAUUAGUAUCUAAACAUUCGAUGUGACGGGUGCUAAAAUUUAGCAAGUGGAAGAAAACAGGUCCUUAGUCGCAUUUCGACUUCAAUGCUCAAGAAAAAAGAUUCGUAUCCAAAUUCAUAUAGAAUGCUUGAGAGCCCAUGGAAGCUUCCUUUCCCACCCGUGUUACCCUUUUGGAAUAUUUUCAAGUCUUGCAUUUGAGUAGAAUUCUAAGUGCCUGGAACAAUCCAAUCUCGUGUUCUGUAUAUAUGCAUUACGAAGUGAGGUUACAAAGAGAGUUUCUUUAUGUCUCUGAAAAGGUACCAGAGUUAAUUAUAACACAGAAUUGAUACAGUUUUUAUUAUUUUUCAUGGAAUGUAAAAAAAUCCCACCUACGAUAGCCACUGAAAUAUCCAAUUUGCAGUAAGGUUUCACCAAAAAAAAAAGGAAAAAGAAAAU
rnacentral:lncRNA from 1 species